rnacentral:lncRNA from 1 species
AUGGAUUCAUCGGGUGAAAAGGUAAAAGGCAAAAUUGGGUUGGAGGAAAUUAGGGAACACAAUUAGGAGUCCACGACAGACAAACAACGAUUGGAAUCUGUACGUCCAACCAAGGUGGAGAGCAGCGGAGAGCCUCCUCCAGCCAGGGGCGGAUCUACAGAGGGACUCGGGUGGUCCCGGGACCCUCCAAAGUUCUGGAGAAAGGCUUGAGAGGACCUCCGAGGACCCCCCGAUAAUCUGGGCAGUUUGUGCUAGCUGGGUUUAUAUGCACAAUCGACGGUCCAGUGGUUGCAGCUUGCGGAGAAGACGAGUCCUCCUGUUUUCUCUGUUUCUCUUUUUACCUAACACGUUGUCGUUUUUAAAAUCUUGACUUUAAUAAAACGGUGCGUUGCGAAAGGUUGCGUAAUUGUUUGCUUUCCCUUUUUUUUUAGAUUUGAUCUUUUUUUCUCUUUUUUUGGGUCAGAUUUUUUCUCUUCUAAAACUAAAACCCCACAAACUCCAACAUAUCUUUACUGUUAUAUAUAAUACCCGUGCCCUGAUAAUUUUAUUUUAUCCUAAAACCAAAGCAACUCAUCUAAACACUACAUUAAUAAAAUCCUAUUUGUCGAUCAAAAGAAAGUGAAAAGAUAUAUUCUAUCACAAAACAAAAUCAUGGGUAGUAAAGUAAAUUCACAUAAACUAAAUUUUACAGUUUUUUUUCAAAACCUCACCCAAAGAUGAACUGCCGUGGGGCAUAUACUAGUAUUAAUUAUAAAAACACUUAUUAAGGGCAGUUAGAUAACCAUCUUAUUUUUAGUUUUUAUUUUUGAGAAUUUUAACGAAAAGCACCCGGUACUGUUCACUUUAACGAAAAACCACAUUUUUACACUAAAAAGUCAAUCCUGGUACUAUUCACUUUACCUUUUAUUUUGUCCUUAUCAUUAAAACUCAAAGUUUUCAAACCCUUUUCAUUAAUUUUCCUUUUAUUUUUUUCACUUUUUUAAUUUUGUUUUACUUUUUUUCUCUACCAUAGGAUUAAAAUCAAACGAUGAGUGAAUGUGAUUUUCUUGAACCCUAUAGUCUAGGAGAACAAGACUCGUGUUGUUUGUACCAACAUUUAUAAAUGACAGUGAUGGUUUAAUGUUUCAAUGUUGUUUUCAUCUAAUUCUUUUUUUUUUUACAUUUACUUUAGGACCACCCGAGGUUAAUAUCCUGGAUUCGCCAUUGCCUCCAGCCUUCUUCUGACGGCGCCGAGGCUUUCUCCUCAGCCACCGCCGCAACAGCUGCAGCAUCAUCAGGAUAAACGACCCCAUCGCAGCCAAAGCGCCAACAGCAACAAGAUGAAGGGAUUAUUCAAGUCCAAGCCCCGAACCCCCGCCGACAUCGUUCGUCAGACCCGGGAUUUACUUGUCUAUGCCCAGCGCGCUCCCGAUUCUCGCAAAAGUAAACGCGAGGAAAAGGUAUCUAUUUUCCAUCUAUUAAAGCAAUCGAUCCAAUUCAAUACGAUCUGAUUGAAAUUUUGAUCCGGGUUCUCCCUUGUUUCUAUAUUCUAUUCUGUAAAAACUUGGGAAUUUGGGAUUGUUCAUGUUUUUUUUUAAGGAAAACUAAUGAAAAUGGCUUGAAAACUUUGAGUUUUAAUGAUAAGGACAAAAUAAAGGGUAAAAUAAAUAGUACCAGGAUUGACUUUUUAGUGUAAAAAUGUGGUUUUUCGUUAAAGUGAACAGUACCGGGUGCUUUUCGUUAAAGUUCCCUUUUUUUAUGACCAAAAUUGUUUGGGAUUGGUUGAUGAUCAAAGUUUAUAUUUUCAAACUUUACUUUUCACUUUGAUAUUGUCGGCCAUGAAAAAAAACUCAUCAUUAUGUUUUCUCAAUAUCAUUAUAUAUCUAAAUAUUUUAUUAGUAUUAUUUUAUGAUAUUUGUUAACAUGUGGCCUAGAGUAUUGUGACUGUCAUUAAAUUAUGUCACUUAUACAACAUGUGAUUUACCACACGACCGAAUAAAUUAUUUAUUUAUAGAAGGCACAUGGUACAAUAUUUUGCCUUGACAAAUUUUGUCAAUUUGAUUUAUUCAUUAUACGGUCAUACUUAUAUUGUCAUUUAUUGUCAUGAAUUAUGGAGCAACUAGAUCCACUGAUCAACAUUGUUGCUGAUUAAAAGAGCCCAAUAUGCGAACCCGACAAGCAGACCCGAAUUAUGCCGAGAAUCAACUCAUAAUGAGUGCAUGUCGACAUAAAGUAGAUACUUGCAAUGAGGAAUACCACGAGCCGAGCGAGCAUAGCCUCUAGCCAAGCAGCCUCGUAACGAGCAUCGCCUCCAGCCGAGCAACCGUCUCACCGUGAGCAUAGUCUCUAGCCAAGCAGCCUCGCAACGAGCAUCGCCUCCAGCCAAGCAGUCUCAUAACUUGUGAUACAUCUAGCCGAGUAUUGCUUUAUGUUGAGCAUUGCCUUGUGUUGAGUACUGGUUCAAGACAUCUAGCCACUUCAGCCCGUACAUAGAUUGGAUUUGAAGUCUCCAACCAAAAGACUCUCUUGACUGAAGACUUGGGGGACUCCUAUUGGUACCAUAUAUUGGGCCUCGUCUUUGGGCCUCAUCCCUAAGCCCACAACAAAUGUAAAAGGGGAGGGAGCCCUUAUUCUAUAAAAGGGACUUUCCCUUACCCUCAUUGGGGGACUCACAUUCAAGGACUCACAUCCAAAAGAUCAAAAUAGUCUCAUACUCAACCCUCACAACAAAUGGAGGGCAAUACCCUCCUAGCAGUUCUGUAGGUAUGACUCUGCUUGGUUAAUCCGCGUUGGGGAGUUACUACUUACUUGGUUAUCUUGACCCUGCUUGGUUAAUCCGCGUUGGGGGGUCACUAAUGGUCCUGCUUGGUAUAUCCGUGUUGGGGGACCAUAUGCAUUCUAGAAGUGAGGAGGAUUAUUUAUACUUGGUACAUUUGAUGGGGGAAUCAUAUGCUUGUUUGGAUUUCGUUGAGUGAUGGUUCAGAAUCCCUUCUAUUUUGCGAUUCCGUUGAGUGAUGGUCCGAAAUCGUAUCCAACUUGUAUUUCAUCGAAUGGUUCGGUUCUAUAUGCAUGGUACUCCGAGAUUCCGUUGAGUGGUCCGGAAUCCCUUUGGUGUCUUGGUCCUUUGGAUUUGUUUUCAGCUUCAGAGAUGUAGUCUUCAGCCGAACUGUGUCGCUCUAGCCCUACUUUUCAUAGUGUUGUAUGAGAUACUUUUCAUAGUGUUGUAUGAGAUUAUGAUUAUGAGCUGUUGUGAUUUGUUUCAGACGAACCGUUAGAUGUCUGGGUGACUCCUUCGGAGUUGUUAGAAUUCCUUGGUUAAAUUUAUGAAAUGAUAUGUUACUGCAUUCAUUGAUUAAACAGUUAAAUGUUAAGAUCAUGUAUCUUUGAUUCAUGAUUAAUUAAUUGAUGUGAUUGUGGAAUGACGUUGGGUGUGAUUGAGAUUAUUAUGAUUAGAGUAAUUGAUUAAUGUGACUUAAGCAUAAUGUUGUGCUUCGUUGGUUCUUUGAUAUGUUACAUACUAUGAUUUGCGGUAUUCUGUGAAACAAAGUGAUUUAUAUGAUGGAUGAAUUGGAAAGUAUCUGUGUGAGAAUGGGUUACAUGCGUGUAUAAAAGAUGAUAAUUGUUGUUUGACGUAAGGUUGAUGUGUAAUAUAGUGCAUUAUGAUUUUCUAUUAGAAGUAUUUUACGGAAAGAUUAGAGUUGACGAUUGGUGAACUAUGAAUGGCUUGAUCCCUGUUGAGGAUACGUAGGCAGUCUAACGAGGAGGUUAGAUGCAGCCAUAAAGUAUAAGAAAAAUGAUCACGAAAUUUGAAUCUUGAGUUGUGCAUUGUCCAUAUUCCGGAGGCGGGUAUGUGAGCGAUACGAGUAUUUGAUAAUGUCAUGUGUCGAUCCUAGACGUAUGUCGGGAUAGGGGCGUGACAACUUUAAUCGUAUCAGAGCAAAUGAUCCUACUAUAUGAUAUGCAACCUUCUCAAGUCUUGUUGGCGUAAAUUACGAUAUGCAUUGUGGUUGCAUGAUUUCAUAAAUUUUCUGGGCAUAAAGAUGCAUUCAUGUGAUAUAUGGACACAUAUACAUUUGAGAUACAUAUAUGAAUUGCAUUGUGUUGUGGUGAAAUUUCCAUGGUGAUUAAAAAAAAUUCUCAUUAAUGGGAAUUAUGAUUUGCAUUUGUAUUACAUUAUUCCCUAUGUUCUUUGAAUAAUGAGAAAGUUAUGUGAAAUAUAUAUAUAUAUAUAUAUAUAUAUAUAUAUAUAUAUAUAUGUUGUGAAUUAUUAUGAAGUGAAGUGAAUUGAAAUAAUAUUAUGUUAUGUAUUAUGAAAAUUUUGAAUGUUAGAAUGAUAAUGGGAUUGUGAUAAGUAGAUGGAGAAUUUGUAUUAUAUCUGGCACUUGAGAAAUUGAAAUGGGCAAAAAGGCCCGUGGAUAUAAGGGUGGAUCUAUGAGAUUCGACGAGAAAGAAAAAAAAAGAGAAAGAAGAAGAAGAAAAAAAGAAAAAAGAAAGUGUGAUGUAUAUUGGUCAGGUAUAUUACAAUCUUUUCCAUCUUACUAAUCACUAAUUAAAAUAAAUAAAAAAUGAUGGUGAAAUCAUUAUUCUAUCAAUGAUAAAUGGAUAGAAAUUUUAAAAUGUUUUGGCCAACGAUUAAAAGUGGUUGAAAAUGUUAAUAUUUAAGGAAGAUAUGAUGAUUUGUUGAUGGGGAAUGAAAUUAUAAACUGUGAUUAUGAUUUUGCCAUUAUAAUGAGAAUGGUGGGUAAAUAUGAAUGAAAUUAUGGAAUGAAAUUUUUUGAAUUCAUUUAAUAUAAAUGCUUUCCCAACUGAGUUUCUUCGUUUGAUGAAAAUAAUUGAUGAGAAAGGUUAAUAAUUAUAAACUUGAUUGGUUAGCUUACCAUUAACUCAUUAUAGAGUGAAAUUCCGAUAUUUUGUUAGCCACAUUAGUCAUGGCUUGAGAUUCGGCGUGUGACUUUGUCAAUGUGAGAUAAGUUAGUUCUAUGAAUGAGACUAUCUUUAACAUCGAUACAUGUAUUGGUUGCAUAAUCUGUUUUGGUGAGAAAUUGGGAACAAAUUGGUUGAAUGUGGCAUGUUGAAUAAAGUUUAACCCUUCAUUUGUAAGAAAGAGAAUAUAUGAUGCCUUGAUAGCUAUUAUUGAUUCAAAGAUUGUUUUCACAACGUUCACAUUGAUACCUAUGAUCUCGUUCCUUGUGUAGUAAAAUAUGACGUAGGUAUGCUUUGAAAACAACACUAAAGAAAUAUCAAAAUUUGUUUUUGAGCAAAAGUAAGCAUAUGAUAGAUGAUAUGGAAAUAAGUUGAGUCAAGUUUGAUCAAUGACUCAUAAUUCGGUUCAUUUGUGAUCACUUGGUAUUCUUCUUUCCAUUACCUAAUGAUGUGAUUGGAAAUUCCAAUAAUUUUGGUUGGAAUUUUGGAAUUUGAUUUGUCAAUUUUAAUUGAAAUUUUAAUAUUCAUUUAGCCAACAAGACUUAUGGCUUAAGGUUGAUGUUAUUUUGCAAGGGAAUGUGGCUAUAAAUUUUGAGAAAGAAUUGUAGUUGCGACUAUGUAUAGCCAAUGAUGGUUGAUGGUUUACCAAUGAUUGUAAUUAUUAUGUUAGUAUCUGUCUAACCAAUAGUAAAUGUGAUUGGAUAAUUUAGUAAUUAUUUUAAGUUGUGAAGACUGCGGCUUGAUGUUUGAUAAAUAUUGACACACCCCGAUCCAGAGGAUCCAGGUGUGCUGGCCGUCACGUGAGCGUGACGUAACCAUAAGUGCGACACGGAAGCGAAACAAUAGCAUACAUAAGCAGGAAUUCAAACCAAACUCUAGCAUAUCAACAUACGAACGUAACCAGACGAGUUAUAAAGUAAACACACAAGUUCAGAGCAUAGGUUAACUGCAGUCAAGUAAGACUAAAAUAAAAAUGCAUCACCCUCAGGUGAGUCCUACAUGUCGAAAGUCUGUCAGAACGCCGGAAUAAGACCUCGAGAGCCCCCAACCGCUAAACUAGAACCUGGAGGGGCGCAAAACAAAAUGAGUGGGUCAGUAAAAUCAAAUAGUUUCCAAAACAGUUCAUUAAAAACAAUUUUAACCCUUCACCGUAAAAAUCUGUAUACUUUCCCAGAAAAUAGUAUAUAUACAUAUAUAUAUACGCAACAUCAUAACCCAGCACAUAUCCAUCAUCAUAAUAUCUCAGAAUGAUAUGUCAUGCCCCAAAUAUAAUCAGAAUGCAUCAAUAAUAGUCAGGUGAAGUAAUAAAUCAACCGGAGACCCUACAAUGGUCCUGUACGGCUGAUUCUAAAGCUCAACAUCCAAUCCAACCGGAGUCACCUCGGUGAUCUGUACGGUUCAACUCUGCACGUCACUCGGAACUACAUAUAGUAGUCUGUACGAUGACAAGUGUAUAAAUACGCUCUAAUGCUUCUCUCAUCAAUCAUCGGCGCGCAUAACUAAGGUCACCCACUAGUUGGAAUCACAUCUAGUGAUCUGUACAACUAGCAUGUCGGAACCCUCACAUGGCCUGUACGACAUCCACCUACUUGGAUCCAAGACGAGCGUGCGGUGUGGUGAAUAACAAUAUAAGCACUAUCACCUAGGUGCAGGUUAUGAGCUUUCAAUGCAAUUCACAAAAAUAACCCAGCUGAAAAAUAAAUAAACUCACCUGAGCGUCCACCGCGUCAUUUCAAAUAUAUAUGCAUCAAUACUCAAGCUAGAUAUCUCAAUAAUUUCAUGCAUGGCAAUUAAAUUCAUAACUUUCAUAAAAACGUAUUUUCUGGGAAAAUAAAUGUAUAUAGGUAAAUACGAAAUCAAAACUGACCACUCACUGAUAAGUCGAGGGGUCGUAACCCCCGUGGCGUCCCUGGAUGCGGUCAUCCUCGAAAUACGUCUCACCUAUAUGCGAAACAACUAUAAAAACGUUAAUUUUAAACACAUCACUAAUAUUUUGAAAUAACUUCUCAUACGAUGCUCAAUUUGGGUAUAUGAAUAUACCACAUUGACCUACUCGACGUCACGGACGUCACAAAAUUUUUAGAAAAAUUUUUGGGCUUGCCACGCGCCAGGACAAGCACGGGUCUACGCGUAGGCCACGCGCAGGCCACGCGCAGGUCACGCGCCACGCGUGUCAUCUUCCUCACUGGGCUCGCCGGACUGGUUUUUCUGGCAGCCGGUUUCCGGCCAACUUUAAAACUUCUUAUUCUCCUUCGUUUUUCACCCAUUUUCUUCGUAUUUUAUAUCAAAUUGAAGCCCCAAACAUGUAGAAUCACGAUAGACUAGUUUAAGGCUCUAAAAAUCAAGAAAUCUCACCGGGAAAAUUCUAAGAAAUUCGGCCAAACUUGAACCACGUGAUCCCGACGUCCAAAUCCUUCAAACGAAGUACUCCGAGCCUCCUUAGGACUUCACUAAGCUCACUACAAGCUUAGAAUUUCCUGAAACACAACAUUUUACGUUCGCAUGAACAGUGACCAAAAAUGGAGGUUCGGGUUUCACGUGAUUCCGAAGGUUUUACUUCCUAAAACUAGUACCAAACGACUCACAACGUCUCAAGGAUGAAGAUACAUACCUUGGUUGCUUCGAUCCGUCGAGAUUUGGAAGUUUUUGGGGGGUGGCCGUACGUAUGGGUGUGAGUCGAGAGAGAGAGAGAGAGAGAGAGAGAGAGAGAGAGAGAGAGAGAGAGAGAGAGAGAGGGUUACGGGUUAGAGAGAGAGUGUGGGUUCUUGAUGUCCAAUUCAAUCCCCACCAUCCAUUUUGUAAUCCCUAACCAACAUAACAAAAGUCAAAUUAAAAAAUCUAACUAAUCUUAUAUAAUUUUCUACCACAACACAUCUAGAAUUAGACCAAAUAUUGUCACACACCCAUGUACCUUAAUGUCCAUUAAGGGCAAUUCCGUCAUUUCACAUUCCCGUCAAACACACCUACGGGACGGGCUGUGACAAAUAUUUUGUCAAUGUGUAUGGCUAGAGAUUAUAAUAUUUAUUCUGCCAAUAAAUGUUGAUGGGAAUCUGGGUAUAUGGGUGAGAAUCAUGACGAUCUAUCCGUUAAUUUAUUUGUUUUGAGUUGAAUAAACUCGUAGACUGAGGUUAUGAUUUUACUCACCAUAAAUGGAAUAAUGGGAAAUGCUUGUAAUUACAAAAUUGGUUGGUAUGGUUGCCAGAAUUAUGAGUAUAUUGAUGAAUUCUUGUUAGUAGCACCAUUCUUUGUGAUUGUGCAAAGAUUGGUGGUGAAGUCGUGCUGAGACGAUAAUAAUUGAAUUUGUAAGUUGUGAUUCGAUGUUGUCGAGCUUGAUGAUAAUUAAAGAGUAAAUGUCAUUUCAAAAUUGUUAUUCGGUUGAAUUGUGGCAGUGGUGGAUAUGGAAUUGAUACUAAAAUUUCGAGGACAAAAUUUUUUAAGGGGGGGAAGAAUGUGAAAUCCUGCUCCUGGAUUUCAUUAUUAUAAUCUACGUAUUGAUAUUAUAGAGAUUUCAUAUUAUUUUUCGGGAAAUUAAUUAUUUAAAAUUCGUAGACCAUUCGAUGUCACAAUUUAUAUUGUUGAUUUGAUUUCGAGAUCACAAAUGCAUAGGCAAAAGCCGUUUGCGAGUCCGGGUUAUAACGGUAUAGUUACGGUCAUUUGAAGUUGUGGUACUAUAGAUUUUAGGAAUUAUUUAGACUCCCACUUUGUGGGAAAGAGGCCCAAUCAGAUAUUUGGGUUAAGGAACCAAUCAGAUUUUUAAAAAGGUUAGGAGGACCAAUGGGGAUGGAAAAAAAAAAAAAAAAAAGGUGCGGGAGAGAAAAUGAGGGAGGAGGGGGACGAAUCAGAAGAGGGGAGAUGAAGGAAGUGAUGAAUCAGAGAGGGAGAAAUGAGGGAAAUGAGGGAAAGGUGAGAAAAAAGAAGAAGGAAAAAACAAGGGGUCGGGUUGAACAGACCCGUGAACCCCGGCCACCCACUUGGCUUUUCCGACGGGUUUUUCGGUGAAUUCUGAAACACCCCAACCCCUUUUAUAUUUUAAAAAUAGUUUUAGUCCUUAAUUGGUGAGCUGUGGGGCCCACCUUGUUUUAUUUUUGUGUUUUCCGGUCUCCCACUCUUCUCUUUCAGUUCUCUCUUCUCCCUCACCUCUCCUGCAACUCUCUCUCCCUUACACUCUCUCGGCUCUCUCUAUCUCAACCCCUCCGAGGGCUUUUCUUACCAACAAACAUCACCAUCGUCUUUAUCUUGUCGCUACGAACUCAACCAUAGUCUUGGCAUCUUGGAAGUCGAACCAUGAAGCCCCAUAUCAAUCUCUUCAUCUCGCUGAGAACUACAAUUUUCCCUUUUGUUUCACUCAAUUUCGUUGAGUAUUGAAGAAGUUAUACUCAUUUGAAUCUUACCCAGUUUCCGGCGAUCUCCGAGGCUUUCGAGGCAUUUUCCGGCCAAACCACGACAAGUUAGAUGUCGUGUAAGGUACCAUUCUCUUCGUCUCUUCAAGGGCUACAACUUUCAUUUUUGAAUUAUUUGAUUUCGUUAAGUAUUGACAAAGUUAUGAGCGUAUAAAGUUAGAGAACUUUCCGGCCAAAUUUCCGGCCUUCUUCAUCCGUGGGUCCGGCGACCCACCAAACCCAAGCCCUUUGGGCCUUUCCUGCUGAGCCCAACCCAAAACCUAUUUCAGUUUUUAUUAUUUAUUUUAAACAUUGCUUUAAUGUAAAAGGCCCUUGGGUUUACCACGGAGCGGGCAUUGGGCCGAUAGUUAUUAUUAUUCAGUGAUCUUACUAGCAGCACACCGCGCUUACGAGACGAUCUACGAAAUGAUACACGCGAUGAUUUAUAUGAUGUUUUCUGCGUUAUCUCUGUCGAGAUAUUUUAUGGCAUGCUAGAGUUUUAGAAAAACCUAUCAUUUAUUAUGCUAGUAGUUUUCAUUAUUUAUAAACCUGGGGGUUAGUAUGUUCAUAACUGUUUUCAUAUUAUGUAUAUAUAUGAACUUGGUCCACUCACUCUUGUUUUGCGCCCCCUUUCAGGAUUUAGAAUCGAGGCAUACGAUCCCGACGUCAACGUCUUCGCUUUUGCAUAUUCGAGUCCUCUCGGUGUAGGACCCACUUCCGUUAUUUAUUAAAUUUUAUAUUAAUUCUUUUAGAACUCUAGUUAGUUGUAUGCUCUGAACACGUUUCUAAAUUUUUAAUUCAUUGUAUUUCAAAUUUCUAACCAGUAUUUAUUUCUUAUUCUUAACUUUUGUAUCAAUUAAUGGCUUUCGUCACCCUCGGGUGUCGGCCAGCAUGUGUCUAUCCUGGUAUCCGGGGAAUAUCAGGGUCGGGGCGUGUCAGAUUGGUAUCAAAGCGUGGUUUUGUUCAGAGCAUACUUAGGAUUCUUUUCUAUUCUCAUAAAGUGUCGGUUUUGACAUCAUUUGGAUGUCAGGACUUCUAGAUUUGGUGUCAUUCAGCGCAGUUGUGCAAACCUUUCUCUAUUUGAAUUGUCACCUUCUUGUUGAAAUUCAAUAAUUCGUGUCGGGAUUGUGCCUCAAUAGUGAUGAAGAGGAUUGUUGGACGACUUUCAACAUAGGACGAUACUUUGCGACAUGCGUUCCUUGGGAAUGACGGGCAGAGUCAUAUCUCUUGGAAAUUGCUCGAAAUAUUCGGAGUGCGUGUUAGAGAAAGCGGCAAACGCUAAUUAUUGCAAAGUCUAAUAAGUGGUGAUUGGUGGGAUCGAAACAAUUUUCUCAAAUUCAUUACCACUGAAGAAGUUCGUGUAAAUCUUUAGAACAAGUCCUCGGUGAUUAUUUUAUCGAUAACCUUCUUGAUUUCUCUAGAGAAGAAGUCAAGUUACUUAACCUUUGCUUUACACCAAAUUCUUCGAUUGUUGACUUUGUUUACAUUAAUUACUUUUCUUGGGAAACUCCUCAGUAACAGACGUUCUCAUCAAUUUCCAAAAGGAGUUGCAAUUCUUAUUGUUGUCGUAGUUGGAAUUAGAUGAUGAAGAUCCAAACUUGUUUGGAUAAACAGAUUCCUUGAACUUCACCUGGGUCUGGUACUCAGUGGUAAAACCCUAGCACCUUGUCCACGAACUUUUCGGUAGAGGUGAACUUAGUCACUUGUUUGUAGCUCAACUGACUAAUGUUCUUGUCCAUUAAGGGUGCGUUUGUUGCGCCGGACUGUCUUGGACUGGACUAGCUGCCGGGACUAAGCUGGACUGGCUUAGACUGGACUAAGCUGGACUAACUUAGUGAAGCGUUUGGUGCAGUCUCGGACUAAGAAGCAGGAUAAGAAAAACAGUACUGUUCACCAGAUUUGUGUUUGCUUAGACUAGGACUACAAAUUUUUGCUAUUGUGUAAUAGAGUAAUGCUACAAAUCUCAUGAUAUGGGUUAAUUGGAGCAUAUUUUUACCAUGUAUAUUAUGAAUCUUAAAAAAAAUUGACAAUUGUUUUGUUUCUAUUACCUGCUAAUAGAAUUAGGUUUAAUUUACAAAUGUAGCUUGAUUUAAACUCUAUCACCCAACAGAAGAAAAAUAAUAGUGGCCAAUACAUGCAACUUCAACAAAUACAAGUACAUAAGAUCUCCAUAAUUUAGAAAAUCCUAGUUAACAUUAGUUAACAAUAGCCAAAAUAGAUCUCCAUAAUUUACAAAAUGGCUAGUUAACAUAAGCCAAAAUACUAGUGCAAAGCUAAGUUAUAAGUCAUAACAUAAGAUUGUAUGAUUAAUAAAAUACAUCCAUGUUAACGUUAAUAAAAUACAUCCAUGUUAACAUUAGCAAAAAUCCUCAUCCGCUUGCGUUGUCGCUUAGAAGCCUUUGGACGAACACUUUCUUGAGUUCCGGUUUGAUUGCCCUGAACACUCCCACAUUUUUUGGUUUAUCCAAAAUAAGAGACAAUGCAUCAAUUUGAUCCAUAGGAGAGAGACCCAUUGCUUCAAGUUCAUUAGCUAUGUCAGUAUGAUCUGCAGUACCUUGAACUAAAGCUUCAGUUACCAUUUGCAUCCUCUUCCCACUUUCAACAUAAAAAUCUUUCAAUCCACUGAUAAUUGCCUCGGUUCCAUCACUUGAACUUCCCACAGCUCUUUUCCUCUUUCUUUGGCUAUUUUCAGAUGGGGUGCUUUGUUGGCUUUGUUGGUUCAUUGAAGAAACAAAAUUAUCACCUCCAAUAUCACUUUCACCAACAUGAUCAUGACUUUGUUCCUCCACCAUUUGAGCAGGGGUUUCGGCUACAUUACCUGUAGCCCGAUCUUUUCCAAAUAUAUAUGCAAAUCUAUCAAACAGUGGAAAAGGCUUGCUUCUCCAUCCAUCGGCUUCUUUAUUUCUCUAAGAUUAUAUCAACAUAGCAAAACUAAAAUUUAGCAUGCGUAACAAAUAUAGGAGCAAGAAUAUAACUAAUGCAUAAAUAAAAUAGGAUAUGAACCUGCACAUAAGUUUGCCAUGCGUCAUCACUGUCAACUUCAACGCACUUUUUGACAUCAUUCCAUGCAAAUCCACUUGUGUUUAUCAUGUCAACGACCAUACUAUAUGUUUUUUUUUCCAUUUCUUCAACUUGGACUCAAUAUGUGGAUUUGCCUUUAUAUAUUUGAAUGAGGACAUAAAACAUUGACAGCUUUUGCUAUUUCAACCAAAGUACCUUGUUUGAAAGCACCGGUGUCACACCGUUGCUUCCGAGCAACAAAAUCCUCAAGAACUCCUAGUAAUACUUCUUCCUCAAAUGCUUCCCAUUUACGCCUUCUUCCUUUUGGCUCUUGAGUAGCAUUCAAAAUAUUUUCGUUAUCCAUACCUAAACAAAAAAUAUUUUAAUGAAGGAAAAAUACCAUACAAAUAAUCAAUUUGCAUAAUAUCCAAUCAACUUGCAUAAUAUCCAAUCAACUUGCAUAAUAUCCAAUUAAUUUGCAUAUCAUCCAAUCAUUGUGCUAAUAUCUAACAAAUGCAUGAUAAAAAGGAAUACUAAAAUAAAAUGUUAUCAUUAAAACAUAUAGCUAGUUCGGUUGCUGGUUCCUAAUUGCUCUCCACUCAUUAUACAUUUCCUGAGCCAUAUCAUUCCUCAUUGCAGUCCACUGGUCCGAUGAUUGAACACUACCAACAUAUUCACCUUCUUCUGUAUUUUGUCCAUCUUCUAUUAUUGGCAAAUUCUCCAUUGGAUCUACUGACAUCUCUUGCCUAAUAAGAUUGUGUAGUAGGCAACAAGCGGUAAUUAUUCGACCUUGUGUCCUUAUCGGAUAGAAAGAUGGACUCCUUAGUAUCGACCACCUUCCUUUUAGCAAGCCAAAACAUCGUUCAAUUACAUUCCUUGCCUUAGAAUGCUUCAUGUUAAAAUAUUCUUCCUUAUUAGAAGGUGUUCGUCCCUCCCAUUCAGAUAAAUGAUAAGGUAUUCCUCUAUAGGGUGCAAGGAAUCCUUCACCAUUUGUAUAACCACCAUCUACAAGGUAAUAACAACCUAAUGAAAAAAAAAACAGACCUUAUUAGUGUUUUGUAGUUGACAAACAGAACCAAACCUAACUUAGAAAGUUGAGACUAAGUAAUAGUCUUACCCGCUGGUACCUUAAAACCAUUAGGCCUACUAAUUGCAUCAUGUAGCACUCUAGAGUCUGAUGCGGAACCCUCCCACCCCGGAAACACAUAUAUGAACUGCAUAUCUCCUGAACACACACCUAACACAUUAGUUGCGACUCGACCCUUUCUUGUUCGGUAUCUUGGUUUGUCAAUUUCAGGUACAUGCACAUCAAUGUGUGUUCCAUCCAAUGCUCCCAAGCAAUUCUUAAAAAUAAAAAAUAAAAAAACUUUUUUUGUUAAUUUAUACAAAGGGAAUGAAGAGUUAAAGCUUAGGGAAAAUGAAAAAUAUUUCUCAUCAUACCUUAAAACAUCGCCACCUAGCAUCUGUAGAAUCAAUAGGCACAGGCUGGGGGACUUUUAGUAGGAUACCUUGUAAUCGCAAAAUUCCUUGCAAUACGCUAUUGAAAUACCUACUUAUAGUCUCUCCCGACCUAUAAAAUCUACCGCCAACACUACGAUUCUUAGUAUGAUGUGCUAAUAUUUGUAAAGUCAUACACACCUGUUCCUCUACAGACACCAAACCAUCAGUUUUUACCCUCCCAUCUUGACGAAGUAAGUCGCAUAAUAUGCCAAAAGUCCUUCUAUCCAUUCUCAAUUCGUUAACACAUUCAGUAUCAGUAUUCCCUAUUAUACCAUUCAGAUAACACAAACUAAUCUCUCGUCUAAUAAGUGAACGGUUAGUCAAUGUGGGUCGUUCAACAUGUCUCUGUUUGCCACGUAGCAUCAUCACCACAAGAAUCGUACAAAUACAAAUUGUCUCCAAAUAAGAUAUCUCUAACAAUAAGAUCAAUAAAAGCUUCCUUCGAUCCAUAUCUAUCCAAACAAAAAAAAAACAAAAAACAAAUUAACUAAAUCAUUAACCCGAGGCAACAAAUAUACAUAUGGCGUUGAAAAAAAAGAAGUUAUCAUUAACCCGAGGCAACAAAUAUACAGGUGGCGUUGAAAAAAAAAAAGUUUCAUUAACCCGAGGCAACAAAUAUACAGGUGGCGUUGAAAAAAACAAAUAUACAGGUGGCGUUGAAAAAAAAAAGUUUCAUUAACCCGAGGCAACAAAUAUACAGGUGGCGUUGAAAAAAAAAAGUUUCAUUAACCCGAGGCAACAAAUAUACAGGUGGCGUUGAAAAAAAAAAAUUUCAUUAACCCGAGGCAACAAAUAUACAGGUGGCGUUGAAAAAAAAAAAUUUCAUUAACCCGAGGCAUCAUAUUCAAAAUGUUCUACUCUUAUACAUCUAUAAACAUGUGUCUAAAAACACUAGUAUGAGGAUUGCUAUCAUUGCUAGGCAUUGCAUGUGAAAAGGGAAAUUAAAGGACACCUGUAAUGCAGUAGCCUUAGCCUUAGCCUUCCGUUUAUGCUCCUCUUCUCUGCAACCAACAACCACAACAAAUUGCAAUUCAGCAUCAACCCCACACAAUACAAAACAUUCACAUUGUAUACACAGUACAUACAUACACACUGCAAACACAGUACAUACAUACACACACUACAUACAUACACUACACACACACACUACAUACACUACAACACACACACUGCAUACACUACACACACACCCUGCAAGUACACACACAGUGCAUACAUACAUACACACACUGCAUACACCCUGCAUACAUACACACUGCAUAAACAGUACACAAACACACACACUGCAUACACCUUGCACACACAGUACACACACACUGCACACACACACACUGCAUACACACUCAUUCACACACACACACUGCACACACACACACACACACACACUCACACUCACUCACACUCACACACAAACACAGUCACACACACACACACACGGGGACGGAGUGCAACACACUCUUACCCUCACACACACACACACACACUGCACACACACACUGCAUACACACUCAUUCACACACACACCGCACACACACACUGCUUACACACUCACACACACACUGCACACACACUCACACUCACACACACUCACACACACACACACACACUGCACACUGCACACUACACACACUGCAUACACACUCAUUACACACACACACACACUGCACACACACACUGCACACACACACACACACUGCACACACACACACUGCACACACACUCACACUCACACACACUCACACUCACACACACACUCACACUCACACACAAACACAGUCACACACACACACACACACGGGGACAGAGUGCAACACACUCUUACCUCACACACACACACACACACACACACUGCAACACACACACACACUGCACACACACACACUGCACACACACACACUUCACACUCACACACACACACACACACCUGCACACACACUGCACACACACUCACACACACUCACACUCACACACUCACUCACACUCACACACACAAACACACAGUCACACACACACACACACACACACGGGGACAGAGUGCAACACACUCUUACCCUCACACACACACACUGCACACACACACUGCAUACACACACACUCAUUCACACACACACUGCACACACACACAUUGCUUACACACUCACACACACACACUGCACACAACACUCACACUCACACUCACACACACACACACACGGGGACAGAGUGCAACACACUCUUACCCUCACACACUCACACACACACUGCACACACACACUGCAUACACACACACACACACUGCAUACACAGUCAUUCACACACACAUUGCAUACACACUCAUUCACACACACACUGCACACACACACACACUGCAUACACACUCACACACACACACACACACUGCACACACACUGCACACACAUGCACACACACACUGCAUACACACUCACUCACACACACACUGCAUACAGCUUGAUUCACACACACACUGCAUACACACAUUGCACACACACUCACACUCACACUCACACUUACACUCACACUCACCCACAAACACAGUCACACACACACACACACGGGGACAGAAUGCAACACACUAACACACACACACUGCAUACACACACACACACUGCAUACACACACACACACUGCACACACACUCACACUCACACUCACUCACACUCACUCACACUCACACUCACACUCACACUUACACUCACACUUCACUCACACUCACACUCACUCACACUCACACUCACACUCACACUCACACACACACACUGUCACACACACACACACACACGGGGACAGAGUGCAACAAACACACACACUGCAUACACCUUGCACUCACUCACACUCACUCACACUCACACUCACUCACACUCACUUACACUCACACUCAACUCACUCACACACUCACACUCACUCACACUACACACUUACACUCACACACACACACACUGUCACACACACACACACACGGGGACAGAGUGCAACACACUCUUACCCUCACACACACACACACACACACACACUGCACACACACACUGCACACACACACUGCAUACACACUCAUUCACACACACACUGCAUACACACUCAUUCACACACACACUGCACACACACACACACUGCAUACACACUCAUUCACACACACACUGCACACACACACACUGCACACACACCUAAAUCAAAUAACUCAACAAUGUUUUGUAAUAACUCACACUGCACAAUCGAAAUCAACAAUUGACUGGUUAAGAAAUUAAAAUCUAAAAGCUACAGACCCUAGAAAACCAGAAUCAAAAGAUAUACAAACUUAUCCCACAGAAUCAACCAUUAAUCGAAGGCCAGAGCAACAGCAAGCUAUGUUUUGUAAUAACACACACACACACUGCUUUAUGAAAACCCUAAAUUCCAAAUUUCAAACCCCAAAUUCCAAAUUUCUAAUGUCAAUUUCAAACCCCAAAGUCCAAGCUUUAUGAAAACCCCAAUUUCUAAUCUCAAUUUCACCUAAAUAUCAAAACCCUAAAAUUUGUUCAACUGCAGAAUCAAAUAAAGCUCAAACCCAAAACAAAUACGCCCAAAUCGACGAAAAAAAUCCGCCCAAAUCGACCCAAAUCGACGAAAAAAAUCGAACAAUCGAAGCUUACCAGACAACUGGAGGCAGAUGAGGGCGAGCAGAUCUGUUACGUGAAGACGAUGGAGCGGACGACGAGAGGAACAGAUGAGGAGCAGGAUGCAGAUGAGGGCGACCAGGAUGCAGCUGACGGCGAGCAGGACGCAGAGAUGAGGAUGAGGAGGACGACGUGAGGGAGGAGGUCUUACGAAUCCGGACGUUUUUGGGGUGGUUCGCUAAGAACUGCUAGCGAAGGGUUUAAUCCGUGCGAGUCGGAUCUAAUCCCAUUAAACCUAAUCCUUGCCCCUACCAAACAUCAGACUACAAUACCAAUUAGUGUAGUCUAGUCCAGUCCCCCCUAAGAAGGUCAAACAAACACGCCCUAACUGUUCAACCUUGUAAUUUUCAGUGUAAUGGCUUGAGACUCUACCAUAUUCAUCAUUGUAUGAAGAUCAAGCUUUGCUCUAAACUUCUCUGGACUCAUUGAGUUUUGGUUUCCUCAAGGGCAUCACUUUAAGGUAGCCAAUCAUGUCACUACAUGCAUACGCAGGCUGCUUCGUGUCUUUCUUCUUCGUCAUUUUGUUGAUUCAGAUGUUCUAUGUUUAAUUUUUGAACUUUGAAACAGCUCUCACAAAGUAUUGUGAAUUUCGAAAUUUCUUUAGCGUCGUCAAAUCUUAUUAUCAGUUCUUAAAUAUUCCUGAGUUUGGACAUAUUUCCUUUUUGGUUAAGAACACAAGCACUUUUGGACUAUGAUUCUCUCUCCUCCUCUUUUCGUCAUCUCCUCUCACAUUCAUUAUUUUGUCUUUCUCUUUCUAUAACAAAUUAAUAUAAGAUAUUGACGUGACUUUGUUGAAAUUUAUUUGGUUUAUUUAGGAAAUUAAUUAGAGAUUUGAUUUGAUUUUGUAGUUGGGUAUUUUUGGCAUUUAAGCAUUAGGGUUUCUUAGGUUUAUUGCUCUAUAAAUAGAGCUUGUAAUUUAGUUUGAGAAUCAAGUUAGCCACAAUGUAGUCUCUUAGGGUUUUGUAGCCGUUUCGGCAUUCUCGUUCUUUUAAUAAUAUUCAUAUUAUUUGUUAGUCUUGUUUGUUGCGCACUCUGAUAUUCAACUUGGUAUCAGAGCGGGUUCGAUCCUUUGGAUCCAAUCUGCUCUUGUAUGGUAUCAGUUUGUUUUGUCAGUUUUUGUUCUUUUGGUUUAGUUUUGGUCUCAAUUACGCUUUCGCUUCCGCUUCGGUUUGUGUCCUUUGUUCUUCUUGGUCACUCUAUUUAUGUUCCUUUUUUUGUCUUUGGAAAUUCGGAAUUGAUAGUCGUAGUAGUCUAAAAAAAAAAAAGGCUUGAUUGUUUCUUCUCUCUCUAGGUUGUUCUCUGGAUCUUGAAUUUUUUGUGGGUUUCAAUGUGUCCUUUUCAGGUUGUGAAGUUUGAGGUUGGAUUGGGAAAAUAGUGGUCGUUUGUUUUUGAGUGGUUUGGUUGUUUUUAAGGCCGCUUGUAUUGGGAGGUUUGGUGUUGCAUUCCGUGACGAUUGUUCGAGUGUUUGGACUGGUGACGACUCGAGUAACGUUGCGAAAGUUGGGUUUUUUGCUUGCUUGUUCAGGUUUGUUCUGGAGUUCGCAAUUGGCAUUAGCAUUGGAAUCUUGCACUGGCACUGUCAUUGAAAUCUUGUACUUGCACCGAUAGAAUUUCGUAUUGAAAUUGACAUCGGAAAUUGGCAUCAACAUCGGCAUUGGUAUUGGUAUUGGCAUUAGAAUUGGUAUUGGCAUUGGCACUGGCAUUAGCAUUGGAAUUUGGAGUCUUGCAUUCGCAUCUGCUUGUUGGCAACCUCAUGACGUAUACCGCCAUGAGUUUGACGGGGGGUGUUGAAAUUUAUUUGGUUUAUUUAGGAAAUUAAUUAGAGAUUUGAUUUGAUUUUGUAGUUGGGUAUUUUUGGCAUUUAAGCAUUAGGGUUUCUUAGGUUUAUUGCUCUAUAAAUAGAGCUUGUAAUUUAGUUUGAGAAUCAAGUUAGCCACAAUGUAGUCUCUUAGGGUUUUGUAGCCAUUUCGGCAUUCUCGUUCUUUUAAUAAUAUUCAUAUUAUUUGUUAGUCUUGUUUGUUGCGCACUCUGAUAUUCAACUAACCGUGACCGAUCAAAAAAAAAAAGAAUAGGAGGAAAAAAAGAAAUAAAAAAAAAGAAGAUAAUCUUACUUCAGAACUUCUUUAUCUUUUGCCGGUCCACAAUACUCUUAUUGUUGUCGACUUCUAGUAAUCAUGGUUCUUGUGGGUGACGGAAGAUAGCCAUGACGUGUAUAUAACAUGUAAUGGAUUCUUGUGGGUGACGGAAGAUAGCCAUGACGUAUAUAACAUGGAAUGGACCACAAGAUAGCCAUGACGUAUAUAACAUGGAAUGGAUGACAACAUUAAACGAAGUCCAUCUUUAUGAACUUUAAGUCAGGACUCAGGACAAACUCUAUUAUUGUUAUCGCCCUUUAAUAAUUAAACCCGUAGGGUAACCUUAUUUUUUCAGUGGAGACUAAAUAAAUUGUUAUCUUUCAGUCAUAUUCAGAUUUAAUGGUUUUUAAUUGUUAUGAUUCGAAAUUUUUUUUUUUUAUUAUUUAGAAAACCUUAAUAGUACGAGAAGAAUUUAUUGAUAAAAAAAUAAAGAUAUACCUAGUAGGGAAGGACAAAAACUUUGCUCCUUAUAAAGCAAGAAAAACAAAAUACAAGAAAAGAGGGGAAACAUACACAUUACUCCUCUUGAAAUAUAAAAUACAAGAAAAAAAAGGGGACUAGACCUUAACCCUCUUGAAAAUAUAAAAUACAAGAAAAGGAAAGGGUGGACAUAUGACCAAAACUCUCUAAAAUAAAACCUAAAAGGUAAUAACAUGCAAGACAGGUAAACCAAAAAAGGAAAAUCCCAAAAAAUUAGGUAAAAAGAAAAACUACACAUCAAGAAGGGAAAAUAAACAUGUAGAAAGGCAUGCCGAAGAAAUUUGAUUGCAAAAAAGGAAGAAUCUCUAUAAGAGGGGUGGCAUGUCAAACAAGUGAAGACGAGGGAAGCCCUAAAUUGGCCAAUUUAUCAAUAAUUGCAUUCCCUUCUCGAAAUGCAUGAGAUCAACAAAAUACCAUGUGCUGCAAUCGGAAAAUACCUUUCUUCCAAUGAGUCUGGAGUGAUCUAGGAGGAGGAAAAAAACAAAAACCAGAAACAAAACAAGAUAUCACGCUAGAAGAGUCAAUUUUGCCAAUCCCGUGCGUGAGCCAAUUCCACAACAAGAAUGACAGCAUGAAGCUCUACAUAGAAAGAAGUAUGAUACCACAAUCUCAGUGAGAAACCUCCAAGAAAAUAACCUGCAUAAUCUCGGAAAACCCCACCACAAGCCACAAGACCCAGGUUACCUUUAGCAAGGCCAUCUGUAGCAGAUGCCAAAAAACAAGAACUAUAGAAGGAGCUUUACAAAAUUCAGCCCCAAUUCCAAAAGAGAUUAAAAGUUACUUAAACAAAUUCCCCUUGUUAAUAAUUGAACUACAGUUUAUUUGGAAUUUUGGCACUUGCCACCUCCAUGAAUCUUCUUCAACUUUCUUUUCUCUUUUUCCUCUUAUGUUUAAGGGUGUACAUCCACACCCCAUUGUUAAUUUAUGUCUUUUGAUCUUCUUCUAUUCAUCCGAUUUGAAAGUCAAAACUUAAAAAGGUGUGUAAGAAGUAAAAAAAGAUUGUGUAAAUAUCGCACUCCUAUAUUUACUCUACAGUGCCAAUAAAUAUAAGGCACGCAAUUGUAAGAUUCAUGUUUAUAUAAUGUUUCAAUUUUCGAAGUUCCAUUGCCUAUAUUGGAGGUAUGAUGAGUUUGGGAUUUUGUGUUUUUCAAUCUGUGUGGGUGUCAUACGUAUUUGGAUGUCGAUUUGUUUUUUAUGUUGUAGAUGUUCGUGGUUGGAAUUUCCGUCGGGGAUGUUUCCUAGUCGACGAGCACACAGCUCCCCGAGAGGUUGGCGCCGGUUGAUGCUUUCUAUCGGGCUUCUGCUUUACUGGCUGGCUUGUCGGGCAAGGCUGAAAGAGAAAGACAGUGUUAACUUUGAAAGGUGCCUUUGUGGGGCCUUAGGUAUAGGCCUUGAGGCUCACAAUCAAGAUUAACCUUUAAGUGCUCAGGCGUGCCACUGCCAUCUUUAGCAUGGCAGAUGUAAAAUCGAUGUUGAGUUAUAGUUGUACAUAUACCCGAGAGGCUGUGUUAGUUAUGACAGGUGCCUUUGUGGGGCCUUAGGUGUAGGCCUUGAGGCUUCCAAUCAAGAACUAACCCAGCACUCGAAUAUACGAUGUCUGUUUCAUUGAUUGCAAAAGCGUUAUAACCAUUAUACUUCUGAUUAUCCGAGCCCACAAAGCAGAAUGAACCCAAAUAUGUGCCUUUAUAGGGCAUUAGAUAUAGGCCUUGAGGCUUCCCAUCAGAAUUCCUUCUAUACUCAAACGUUCUACUAUAAUCAUAAUAUAAUAGAAAUAAAACUAAGAGAUAGGUCGAUUACUUGCACCUCAAGUAACUUCGGACUUCUUGUUUAUCAAAGCUUGUCGUGGAUGGGUUAAGUCCACAUAAGGUUCUUUUUUUAUGCCUUGAGACCAAGGACUUUUGAAUGAUCAAUCUUACAUGUCCGAGAGCUUAGAACUUAGAUCUAAUUUAAACUGUGAAGACAUAUUCAAAUCGGAUUCAAGAACUGAGAGAGUCUUUUAAUCUUCAUCUUACUAGAAAUAACUUGAAUACAACUGGAAGUAUACAACAUAUUGCUAGGCUAAUGAAUGAAAAGACAAAACCAAAGAGGGUCGGGCAAGGUUUCACCUUGUCGUGAUCGUCUUGCAACUUCCUAUCUUUGUGGUUUAUCAAGGGGUUGGAGAGCUUUAUAAAGGGGGUAGGGACAUGUUUUAACCCAAACAGUAGAUACAUUCUAUGUUUUUAUAUAAAGAAAUUGUUUUCUGCUGCGUAUUUGUUUGUGUAAUUACUAAUUACCUUUCUAUCAAGUAGAUAAGAGUACAUGUUUGUUUUGUUGUUCAUAUUUUCCCUUCUAGCUUUCUACUAAAUAAAUUUGGGAAGUUAGCCUCCUACUAAAUAAAUUUGAGUAUAUAUCGUGUUAACUUUAUACUAAAUAGAUUUGGUAAGGUAUUUUAUAUUGCUUAUUUUAGUUUUGAUAGGUAACUAUUUUGUUUAUAUGCGUUGCAGGUGCCCCAUGGCAAGAACAUUCAAAAUAGGAAACAAAAAAGAAAGAUGCAUAAAUUAGGGAUUUUAAUCAUUCUCAUAAUUUAACACUAGUAUAUGCUCACACACAAAGUGUGUGUGAAUUUUUUUUUACUUUGGUUGCUAAAACUGAAGAAGAGAGGAACAGAGGGAGAGAGGUAUUUUUAUUUAUUUUUUAAAAUUUGAGAUGAUAAACUUACAUGUAGGUAUGGUAAAAAAAAAAAAUUUGUGAAAUUAUGUUAGUGUCCUUAAUUUUGUUGUUGUGAUAAAAUAUAAAGAUGUCUUUUUAUUUUAUAUUAAUUGACAAAGAGAAUUUCAUUAAUGCAAUUUUAAAUAUUGGCGGAAUGGACAUAAAAAUAGAGAGUUUUAAUAAAAUGAGUUUCACAAAACUAUAAACAAUUUUUUUUUAAUUACAUGUUAUGGGCAACCGUGGAACCACGAUUACUAUACUUGGCCCAAAAGCAAGUCUGCAUAGACUCGCUAGACACGUGGAUUUCCACUAGCAUUUAGAUGAAAUUUUCAAAACGGGGCCCACUUCGAGAAAAACCAGAUAUUAGAUAUAUUUUUGUUUCCCAUUUUAACCCUCUAGCAGAAAGGAGAGGAAGAAGAAUAUGGGUUAACGCUUCAUAAGGAAGGCAAUUUAAUCUAUCAAACUCAAUCCCCGUAAAUAACUGAUCCUAAUGGUUCGGUUUCAGAUUAGAUUUUGGGUACUUUAUAAUUAUGGAUAACUAUCGGAUAAAUUUUUUGAUUUUGGGUUUGGUUAGGUUAUUGGGGUAUCCAUCCCAAACUCAUGCCCGAAAUGUUUUCAUUUUAAUAAAAAAAUAUAAAUAUUUAUUAUAUAGAGAAUAGUUACCAAUAAUCAUGCAUUAAGUCCGUAUUAGUAGUACCUAUAUGCAUUGUAUUAUUAAUAACUAAUAUAUGCCCUACACUUUGCGUGUGAGAAUAUUUUAUAUUUUAUAUUUUAAAAUGGGAAGGAGAAAGAGAGAAAAAAAGAAAGUGGAUUAGAGAUAGAAGUUUUUUAUUUAUAUUUUAUUUUUUAAAAUUAGAGGAUGUUAGGAUCACUCUUGGGUGAGGUUUUGAAAAAAAACUGUAAAAUUUAGUUUGUGUAAAUUUAGUUUAUUUCCCAUGAUUUUGUUUUGUUGUGGAAUAUAAAAUUAUCUUUUUACCCUUUUUUUAUUGACAAAUAGGAUUUUAUUAAUGUAGUUAUAGAUAUAAAUCAUAUGCUUAGAGUAUUAAUUUCGCUUUUAAUAAUAUUAGUAUCAAUUGUAUUAAUAACACUAUUUAAUAUUUAAUAUUUUAUCUUAUUUAAUAUAUGCAUUAUAUGCAUUUGUAUCAGUAGUCUAUUUAAAUUUGUUUUAUUUAAAAUUUACAAUUUAAUUAUAAGAAAAAUCGUGGUUGAUAAACAAUUCGUUACUUGACGAGUUUAGUUAUGAGAAGAAUACUCGUUAGAAGAUUCUCCAGUUUCGAGUUCGGAGAAAAUAAACGGGUUCGGAUAUAAAAAUGACGUAUACAAACCCGAUCCGCUCCAUUGCCAUCUCUAUUGGUUCCUAGGCUUGAUGGAGGGCAUAACAGGAAAUAAAAGUAAAUGACAAGAAUCCUUUUCCAAUAAAGCCCAUUGCGUCUUUUGAAAACUAAACCACGUGGAAUCCAAGAGGGGACUUAGUGGAGGGUUGGACUCACUUUUGAGCGAGUCUCACAAAAUUAUUUAUCUUCUUCAUCUCUUAAAACCACUAUCACCCUCUAUUGUGGAACACAAUCCUAACCAAUAAAACUACAAAUACGUUAAUUAGGAAAAAAAAAAAAGUAUGAGAUCGACGUUUCAAGAGCUUCACAUGAGGUAAGACUUCAUAUUCUUCAUUGUUUUAGAUCAUUUCGUUGCCUAUAAUUGCAUUCUGAAUGAUAUCUCUCAAAUAAAGUAGGAGGCUGUGUUAUGCCUAUACACUGCCGCUUCCAACAGAUAUCCAACUUUGUUUCUAAUUAUUAUUUAAAACAUGAAUGAUUGAACAGAUAAUUAUUAUCCCUUAAGUAAAGUAUGUGAUGAGGAGGGUCCGAGGAAGCAAAGGAAUGUGAUUAUCUAUAGCAUCGAAUGAUUCGCCAUAAAAUAUAUGUCCAGGAUUAAUUCCUUGAGUUUAAUUUUUUCCCUAUAAUCCUUUUGGCUUUCUUGAAUCAUGUAAACUCAACAGAUCCUGUGCAAAAUUAAGGAUAGUUUAAUUUCCCGCAACAUAUGAAAUUAAAGCCUUAAUAUAUCAUAUGGUCAAUCAACAAAAUCAUUAGUGAACAUAUAAAAAAAAAACCAUGAAACAAAACAAAAUAAUGAAUAAUCAACAACAAAAACGCGUCUUUCUAGUUCUUAAUCUUAAAAAAUUUAAAAUUAUGUGAUCAAUCAAUAAAAUCAUUAGAGUAUAAAAGAAACCAAGAAACAAACAAAUUGAUGAAUAAAUUAAAGUAGAAACUAUAAACACUUAUCAAAAUUGCAAAACAACAGUUAUAGUAAAACAUAAAUAAAAGUAGUCUUUAAUUUUCUGCAACAAUUGAUAGUAAAGCCUUGAUGGUCCCCCUUAAUGCUGGCACUAAGUACUCUAUUAUUGUAUUGCCUUUUAGUAACCAUGGUUUUCGUUCGUACGAUGAAGCUUUAAACAAAAUCUAUCUUGUGAAAUUUUAAUGCUUAACUUUUGGACAGUAAGUGGGGCAUUUUUUGAAAAGUUGAACUCUUGAAUUAUGAUGCCAAAAGUAAAAUGACAAAUUGUGCAUGAAACACGAGUUUUGUGCAAUGAAUCAAAAAGUGGUAGAUAGGAAAAUAAUUGUUGAUAGAUAUAUGACCUAAUAAUUGUUCACAUAUAUGACCCAAUUAUUUCAAGCAAGAUUCCAAUCAAAUUUGCAUGUACGCCACUAAAAAAAAUUCAUUCAUUCAUAGACAUAUGUGUAAAGGACGACAACUUGCAUAACAUAUUUCACGAUAAUAAGAAUUUAAGAAUAUUCCACACACGUCAGUGAUUCGCAAUAUGUAUGCAUUUCACAUAAAUGCCUCAUUAUUUAUAGGAAUUAUGAAAUAAUGAAAUCUCAAUGCUAAUCAUAAUUCACACCAACAUGAACUCGAGAAUAUUGCAUAUUGUAGAGCAGGAUCAUUCGUUCUGAUACCACUUUGUAACGACCCAAAAUUCUAAAUUGGAAACUAAAACCGGUGAUAGGCCAAAAUAAAAUCAUGGUUAAUCUCUACGCUAUUAAUCAUAAUAAAUUUCUUUCCUUAAAAGAAAUCCAGCACGAUAUUAAAUUUGGAUUAUUUUAUGGCUGCAUCUAACCGUCUCAUUAGACUGCCUAUGUACCUUAUGAAGGGAUCAAGCUAUUCUUAGUUCACAUUAUGCUUCUAGAUCAACAUAUUAAAACUUCAUUACGAUCCAACGGUCGGAUCUUCGCCAAUCACAAAUUCAAGUGGUAGUCGACGAUUUAUUUUACAAACUUACAAAUCCAAUUCGGGAAGAUCCGUGCGUCGGAUUCCCGAUCUGUAAGUUCUCAAGGUCCUCAAAUAUUACAUAUUUUAAUGUAUCAAAAUUUGGUGACGAUCCAACGGUCGGAUUGUUUAUUCAGGGUAUCCUCUCGAAUGAUUGUUUUUUAACUCCUUGAUAUUAAUAAAACAACUAUCGUUUCUUUCAAAAAAAAAAUCCAGUCUAUUUAAAUAAGCUCCAUAUAUUAAUUAACAGAAAUUAGCUAGGCUUGUAUAGAUCCAGUUUGUGAAAUAAUCAGGGAUAUUUUUCUCAUUACUUCUCUUACAGAAAUACAGGACCCAAUAGUUCUACGUGCCUGCUGGCUCAGACUAAAACAUUCAGGACAAAAUUCUAAAAGGUGCUUUAAAGCUUAACUUUUAGAUAGUAAGUGGAGCUUUUUGGAAAAACUUGACUCUUGAAUUUUGAUGCCAAAAUCAAAAUGACAGAUUAUGCAUGAAACACAGGUUUUGUGCAAUGAAUCAAAAAGUGGCAGUUAGGAUAAGAGGGAGCGUUGAAGGGGAGCGAAAGGUACGGUCGUACAGGGCCCUAAAUUUGAAGGGAGCUCCAAAAUUUUUGUCAUCUAAUAUUAUGUAAUCAGCUCUAUAUUUAAAAAAAAAAUGUUUUUGUUAGUACUGUGCACCUCUUAUAAGAGUAAUUUUUGUUUUCCUUUUUAAAUAUAAAAAUUUGGAGUACAAAGAGAUAUUUUGUAUGUCAGUAAUAACACCCGAAAAAUGAUAUAUAUAAUAAUAUUAUAUGUUCAAGUGAAACUUCAAUAUUAGAGUUUUUUGUUUUUUUUGUUUUUCAUGUUUGGUUGUUUAAUUAAGAAUGAACUGCUUUUGAUUAUUUAGUGAAGGUUAUGUUUAUAACUCGUUUUACUUAUAAUUAAUGACAUUUGUAAACUAGUAUUCAAUGAGUGUUAAAAUUUGUUUUGAUUUAAGUGACUGUUUUCUGGCAUCAAUACAUUGUUUAAAAACAAAAAAAAAACCUAUCUUAAGGAGGGGCCUUCUUUCAAAUUUCGCAUAAGGCCUUUAAAAUCUCAAAGACGACCUUGGUCAGGAUAAUAAUUGUUCAUAGAUAUGACCUAAUUAUGUUAAGCAAAACUCCAAUCAAAUAUGCGGGUAUAUAUAGGAGGAGAUGGCCGGCCAUGGGUGUAGGGUUUUGCCCUACACAUGACGACUUCCUAUUGGCCAAGUUAUGUCAUUCGUAGGAUGCGCAAGGAAAGAAUUUUUCCAAGAUAUUAAAUAGGAGAUAAUAUCUUGGAAUGACGAUGAGAAUAUCCCUAAUUGAUUGUGAUAGGGAUUCUUACUUGAUGUGUUCGUCUUCAUUUAAAAUUGCAUUAAAGAUAGGAUUUCGUAAUUAAUCCUUAUCUUUAAUACAUUUGACUUUUCCAUCCCAUGAGCAGGGGAGCUGUAAGCAAUCGUAGUCUGCUACUUGAACUUUUAGGGAUGCUUAGUUGCGAAUGGGGAUGUUUGAGAGCCCUACCCAUUUAAUGAGGGCAAUAUUGUCUUUCUUGAGUAAACAUUCACAUGUCGCCUUGUGAAUUUUUGGGAUUAUUUUUUGCUCCACAAGGAGUCCUGUUAAAAAAUUAUAAGCAUGCCAUGUUGCUCCGAUAUAAUUAAUAAGUCAGAUUUACAUAAUUUCACUAAAGGAUACUGAAAUAGUUAAAAAAUUAUCAUAUAUUAGUAUCAUAAUUAGAAGAAGGGUUGGGAUACUAAGACACGCUUUUGACACACGUUUUUGCAGAGCCUACUUUGUAAUGUAUUUCAACGAUCCGAACGAUUAAUCUUUUAGGUGUUCUCUCAAAGAUCAUGUCUACCAAAAAUCACUCAAAUUCAAAAGCAUAUGACCUUUGAAUUAAACUUAAUGUGUCUUUAUAGAACUGUAUUCGUCAAUUUUCUUUACUACAAAUGAAUGUCAUAAUGGUUUCAGAUUUGUCUAAUUUUUUGCAAGGAUAAAUAUGAAUGAUAUACUAAAAUAUGAACUGUUUGGAUUUUUGAAAUACAUUAUGAAAUGGAUCCUACAAAAUAGGUGUCAAAACAUGCGUUAAAAACAUGUGUCCCCAGAUCCCUUACCUUAAAAGAAAUUUUAAAACAUGUGAUCAAUUAACAAAAUUAUUAGUAAACAUAUAAAAGAAACCAUGAAACAAAACAAAAAGAUGAAUAAAUUAAAGUAGAAACUAGAAACACUUGUCCAAAUUGCAAAACAACAAUUAUAGCAAAACCUAAAUUAAAGGCAGUCCUUAAUUUUCAGCAACAAAUGAUAUUAAAGCCUUAAUGUCUCUCCAUCUCUCCAUUCUCUCUGCCCAAAAAACGAAACAAAAUAAUUGAUUAAUGGGGGCCCUUUGAAGGUGGGGGUAUGACUAAGCAAGAGAAAGAAGAGACUCGAGUAUGGCUACGUGCUGUAAGUGCAUUUUUACUCAUCACUAUUUAGUGUAAUGUAUACUCAUUAUUCUAUUUAUCACAUUUAGAUGAAUUUGAAUUUUGAAAUUUGUACCUAUUCACUACACUAAUCUCGAAAUUCAAAUUCAUCUAUCUGUGAUAAAUAGGAUGGUGAGUAUAUCACCUGUUGUCCUAAGUUAGUGACUCCACUGUCUCCUCUUUUAUUUCUCUAACACGUGUCUAGUCAUUUAAACCUAACCUUAACCUGUUAACUUUUAAUAAAAAAAUAAAAAAUAAAAAAACUGAAAACGAAGAAACUUACAGCCACCGCUUCCCCACCUAGCCCGAACCCGACAGUCUCCCACGCCAGCCAACCCCACUUCAGCAACGGCUACCCCAACUCCUCGCCAAAGCCUCCCCCAUCUACACGAAAUCCAAAUUGCUUCCUUCCUCAAACCAAAAUUUACAUAAAAUUUGUUGUUCGACGGGCUGGGUCGAUCACGAUUGGGUAUCAUUUGAACAGACAAGAAAAUAGCGGACGAGACUGGAAAUGAGGUUUUUCCGGGCUCCCAGUGUUGGGUUUUGUUGUGAAGAUUUUGUUUUAAAAAACAUAUUAAAAAUGGUUAAACACUGGAAUGAGAGAAGACGAAAAUGUAUUAUUUAUUUAUUUUAAUUUAUUAAAAAAUCACAGAGUUAAGUGGUAUGACGUGUCAAAAAAAUAAAAGAGGAGAUAUAGAAGAGACACCACUUACUGGACAGCAGACCCGCAGCCCUCAAGUAUCGUGCUGCCUUCAUUUAUUCCGCUUGUUCUCUUUUGGUAAAAUUUUUAAUUGUUCCGCCUUUUAAAAACAAAAUGUUAUUCACACAUUUGUAUUUGGGUUCGUUUAGAUGUGAUUUUAAAAUAUUUUUAGGGAAAUUGAUGUUGAGUUUCAAAAUUACUCUAAGUGUAGGGUUUAUGAAUUUUUUAUAGGAAUCACUUAAAGUGUUUUUCAGGUUUUCACUUGGAUUUGACUAAAGAUUGGUUUCAAAAAUAUUUUCAUCAAAAACGUUUUCAGUCAUUUUAAAAACACACUCAAACGAACCAUUUACUUCCCACACAUCCUAAUUAAUUUUUUUUCAUUGAUCUUCUUUAAUUCAUUUUUUUUCAUUGAGAGAUAUGUAUAAGAAAUAAAAAUGAGUGUGGAUAUCACUAAUCCUUAGCAAACGUCUUUAAACGAUAUGAAUGACGUUUUUAACAAAACACGUCAUUGAUGUUUUAAUUGGGUGUCAUGGAUAAUAGUGAGAAUUAAUAGAAGAGAGCAGAAAAUGCGAAAAGAAAAGGAAAAAGAAAAAGCACAAAAAGGAAAGUGAAGGAGCAUUAGAGUGAUGUACAUUGUUUAAAAAGGGUUAAUCAAAUUAAUUUCCAUGUCAUCGAUUUACAUCUCAACCAUUGAAAGUAUAUUCACACACCUUAAAAUACUUUUCCUAUACCUUCUUAAUUUUUUAAUAUUUUUCUAUCAAAUGUUUGUGAUGUGUAAAAUAUUAAAAAAAUACUAAAAAAUAAAAAUAGUGUGGAGAAAGUAAUUUGGGAUGUGUGAAUAUAAUAUCUCCCAUGUAAUUUAAUCAUGUUUUUUGUUGGACAUGUAAUUUAAUCAUUAAAAAGGUUCUACAUCACUUUCAAUUGAGAUCUUCCUCUAUCAUAGAAUUAGUACAAAUAUGAUAUGAAAAAUACGAUAGUGUAACAUUAGAUGUGCAUCUCAUGUAUAGCCAUCAACUCGAGCCGUCAUAAGUACAUUGAUACUUAAUUUAAUAUGUUUGUACCAUAUUUGACCAAUCCUGAAACUACCGAGCACCGGUCAAUGUUAUACCUUCAAGGAUCCAGAAGAGUUUUUCUCCAACCAGGAGGCCAAUCACAGAGCGACACGUGUCGACAUCAAAAGUCAAUCAUAGCGCGACACGUGUCAACAUCGGAAGCCAAUCACAACACGACACAUGUCAAUGUUAGAACAAGGCUAGAAACUCUCUUUUAUAAAAGGAGAUCAUUCUCCCACAAUAUUCCCUAAUGUCAUUUGUACUAAAUCAUUCACUUGUACUUACAAAAUGAGAGUUUGAACCUAUGUACUUAUGUAAACCCUUCACAAUUGAUGAGAACUCUUCUACUCUGUGGAUGUAGCCAAUCUGGGUGAACCACGUACAUCUUGUGUUUGCUUCCCUCUCUCUAUCCAUUUACAUAAUUAUCCACACUAAUGACCGAAGCAAUCUAACGAAUGUCACAAACUUAACACUUUCUGUUAUGCCAAAGUCCUCACUGAUUUUGUGCAUCAACAUAAUACGAUCCAAACUAAAGAGCACUUCUUCGCUCCAUACAAUUAAGGAGCUAUUGAUUUGAUUUGUUUGGAGUCACGUAUUUUUCACGAGUUCAGAACUUAUUACCUCCGAGGUUUUAGUUUUCCAUCACUUUUGCAUAACUUCAUUACAUUUUUCAAUAAGUUUUGAAUGUUGAAUCAGGCCUUUUUCUAAAAAAAAACAAAAAAACAAAAAAACAAAAUAUGCUAACUCUUAUCAUAUUUUUCCUAUAAUAUUUGUACUAUCUUUCUAAUAGAGAUAUGACCUAUAUGUAUUAGUGGGUCCUAUCUUUAUUAAAGAUGUGAUACAAAUGUAGUAAGUGAAAUAUUACUCUUUUAUUUAUCUUAACCAUUGAAGUGACAUAUAUCAAGAUUCCAAUAAGAGAAAAUUAAUGAAAUGAGUAAGUCUAUACUUACCACAUUUGCAACAUUUUCAAAUAAAGUUAGGAUUCACCAACACAUGUGAGUUUAUCUCUAUUACAGCAAGUCCACCUCAUCCGAAUGGCCCAACCAAUUAGGCAAUUGAAUUCCCAAAAUCUGAAAAAUUCUCUCCACCCCAGCCAAAUUAGUCGGGCUACUUGUGGCUGUAAUACCCUGAAAAAUUUAAAAUAUAUGAUUAUGUGGAAAAAAAUUUAUCGGAAAGUAAAAAGACGAAAAUGUCUCUCCUUGACUAAACGUAAUUUUAUGAGGAAGUAUUUUAUCCUUAUAUAUUUUAUCGUAUUUCUAAAUAUAUUUGAAUAGAGAAUGACCCAAUGAGCGCGUAGGUGCAAACAGAUCCUAAUUCCGAGUUAAAACGAAGAAGUUACGAGCCUCGAAAGUAGUGAGACUUUUUAAACAUGUGGCCUUACUACUAGUAGAGAGUCUACAACAACAACAACAACAACAAAGCCUUUUCCCACUAAGUGGGGUCGGCUAUAUGAAUCCUAGAACGCCAUUGCGCUCGAUUUUGUGUCAUGUCCUCCGUUAGAUCCAAGUACUCAAGUCUUUUCUUAGGGUCUCUUCCAAAGUUUUCCUAGGUCUUCCUCUACCCCUUCGGCCCUGAACCUCUGUCCCGUAGUCACAUUUUCGAACCGGAGCGUCAGUAGGCCUUUUUUGCACAUGUCCAAACCACCGGAACCGAUUUUCUCUCAUAUUUCCUUCAAUUUUGGCUACUCCUACUUUACCUCGGAUAUCCUCAUUCCCAAUCUUAUCCUUUCUCGUGUGCUCAUACAUCCCACGAAACAUCCUCAUCUCCGCUAUACCCAUUUUGUGUACGUGUUGAUGCUUCACCGCCCAACAUUAUGUGCCAUACAACAUCGCUGACCUUAUUGCCGUCCUAUAAAAUUUUCCCUUGAGCUUCAGUGGCCUACGACGGUCACACAACACGCCGGAUACACUCUUACACUUCAUCCAUCCAGCUUGUAUUCUAUGGUUGAGAUCUCCAUCUAAUUCUCCGUUCUCUUGCGAGAUAGAUCCUAGGUAGCGAAAACGGUCACUUUUUGUGAUCUUCGCUAGAUUGCUCUGGUCAUUAGUGUGGAUAAGUAUAUAAAUGGAUAGAGAUAGGAAAGCAAACACAAGAUGUACGUGGUUCACCCAGAUUGGCUACGUCCACGGAAUAGAGUUCUCAUUAGUAGAGAGUCUAUAAUUACUAAUUAGUCACCCUGAAAUUAGAAGGUUUUCACUUCGGGAAACCUGGUGAAAAUGCCCAAAUAACCCAGAAAAACCUCAAUUUGUCCUCUCGCGACCUCCCAUUUUUCGAGGUCGAUUCCGGCCAAUUCAGGUGGAAUUUUUCGACGCCACCACUACCAUCUUGAAGAUCUCACUCCCCUCUACAUAAUACCACAAACCACCUUGAUUAGCCACCGUAUGUGGCGGUGUGAGGCCAUAAAACCCGAUGAAAACCAAUGGUUCUCCAGCCACCCUUUUCAUUUUUCCAGUGAAUCGGCAAAGCGAUGGCCAAUACCACAACUUGGGUUUUGUAGCUCAUCAUCCCAGGAGUAAAUCCCGACCAGCUUUGAUUCCAUUGGACCACCGUGGGCGACGAAUCGACACUGGGAAGCUUUAGACACCAGCCAGUUUUAUCAGCGGAAUUGACCCUCUUCCGUCCACUUUUGGACUUCGUGGUAGAUAUAAAACUUGUUCCUCUUGUUGGGCUCUAUCGUCCUGUAAAUUUUGGUAGAAUUUGGAGUUAGACAAAAAAAUGGGUUUUCAGUCGUCGGAAACCACCACGCGCAGCGGCACGUGGGGGAAAAUCUGUUUACAUGGAUUUUGGACAGUGAGACAUCCUUGAUGUCUUGAGCCCAUAUCCAAAGUCCGUUCGUUGAAAUUUGAUGCGAUGAUUCGAAUAUUCAAAUUUUUCGAAUAAUUGUAUCGCCGUACGAUUUUUCGUAAUUGACGACCAUUCAACCGUUGGAUCGUCACCAAACUUAGAGACAUUAUAGUACAUAAUAUUUGGAGACCUUAGGAACUUACGGACCAGGAAUCCAACGUAUGGAUCUUCCCGAAUUGGAUUUGCAAGUUAGUAAAUUAAAACGUCGACUGCCACUCGAAUGUUGUGAUUGGCAGAGAUCUGACCGUUGGAUUGAAAUGAAGUUUUAGUAUGUUGUUCUAGAAGCGUAAUGUGAACUAUGAAUGGUUUGAUCCCUUAGUAGAGUACGUAGACAAUAUAAUGAGAAUGUUAGAUGCAGCCAUAAUAAAAUACUUGAGAUAAAUAUUUUAGUGAAAUUUGCUAAGAAAAUGAAUUUGGGGCCUAUCUUAGUAAUUAGCUUCUGAAUUAGAAAUUUCGGGUCGUUACAGUGGCCUUACACAACCCGACUGAGCAAUCGAGUGAGGAUAGCCUAAGAGCAACUCCAGCGUAAGGAAGACCCCUUGGGGAAACUUCCUAUUCAAUCCCCUCCAAUGAAAUAAUUGUCUUUAAUGAACAGUCAUUACCUUUUGCAUUUCCACCCCUAAACUGAAUAGUCAUGGCAAUAGGCAAUAAAAUAUUAGUAUUUUUUAUUUUAUAAAAAAUAAAAAGAAAUUUUAUUUGUAAUUUUGGAUAGAAUUUUUAAUCGGUCACAUUGUACCAAGUGUCAUUAAAUAAGAAAUUACAACCCAAUGUAUUUGAGAAAAUAUAAAAUUGUGGUGUAAGAUGGAAGAUAAUGAUAAAAUAUUUAUAGAAAAAUUAAAUCAAUUUUUUUUUUGAAUUUUUUAAAUUUUUUCGAAUUUUUUAUUAAAUUUUUACAUUUUUCAAGCGGCUUUGUAGUAUACAGUGACGGAACCAGGAUUUCAUGUGAGGCGUAACAUUUCACAAAUGUUAAGGUGAUACUAUCCACACAUUCAUUUUUAUCUCUCACACACAUCUCUCAAUUUUCUGAUAAUUUAACUAAAGUGUGUGAGAGGUGAAAAUGAUGUGUGAAUAGCACUACCUCAAAUGUUAAAAAAAAAUCUAAACAGAUAGUAUCUACAAAAUUACAAAAAAUAAAAUAAAACAAAUAUAAUAUGAUACGAGUCCAAAAUAAUAAAUUCAUCGAUAAUAAUUCACAACAAUCAUACUUGUACUCGACGAAUUUUCAUAUUUUGAAACCGUAUCAUGAUAGACUCGUCAUCUAUACUAUUUAAAAUAUAUUUAUCAAUAUAAGUAACCAAACAAUUAUUUAUCCACAAAAUCACCCAUUCAAUUGUAUAGGUUGCUCUUCACAAUAUUGCAAAAAUACUCGCUCAAGUUUACAAAUCCAAAAUAAAUUUGAUAAUCAAUUAAAAAAAAUUGCGAUAGAUCAAUUUAACAAAAAAAAAAAAAUCAUAAUUUAAACAAAUAAUUUGCAAGAGAGAUGAGAGAGUAAAAUACAAAUAUUAGUGUAAAAAUUGGGAUGCGAAACGAAUUUGAAAGGCUGCAGUAGAGAACAAGUAGGCUAAAAAUAAAGUGAGGAUGGGCCUAGCCCCACCCUGGUCCCUUCUUCCCUCCGCCACUAGUAUAUAUAGGCAAUCGAGAUUGAUGGAGCAAACACUCUUCUAUAACUAGUGACGAGCUAGCAAUAGAAAUGAGUAAGCCUUCUCUAAGACUGCAGCUUACUAAGCUUGUUUUUUACCAUGUUCUACUUUGGCAACUUGGACACUGGCCUCAAUCCAAAUGCCACUGUAGAGCCGACGUGGCUCGACUGCCGGAUGAUGAAGGUAUUCAUUACCAAUUUCACUCUCUCUAUUUUAAUCAUCAACUAACUUUCUGAGUAUAUCGCCUUCAAGCAUGAUUAUAUAUAACCCAAAGUGGAUCACAAACACAUGUUUAAUUAAUUAAUUUCAGCUAAGAGGCUUGAUCAUCGUACUUAUUAAUUACUUAACGAAAUAUUGGCAGUGAAUGCUCUUAGUGUCUUUAUGAGCAACUUAGAGCUAAGGCCAGAGCAAAUCAUUAAAGGGACAUAUUGCAGUGAUGUGGUCUGGACUUACGGUUUUAUCAUCGAAUGUCAUUGCGCUAACGUGAAUGAAUGCCGAAUCACUGGAAUGUAUGUAUGAAACAAUAUUUCACAUAUACACGUUAAAUCUUGUUUAAUAUAUAUAUAUAUAUACACACACACACACACAUACAUAUAAUUAAUUAAUUAAUGGUAUACUAACCUUUUUUUUGUGUGGACUCAUUUUGUGUGGCAGUAGAAUGAGCUACUUAGGUUUAACUGGAACUAUUCAUGAAAGUGUGGGUAAUCUUAGAAGCCUAACCUACCUGUACGUUAAUCUCACUCUUUGUCUGCCUACCAAUCUUUAAUGUAAUUUCAGUUGUUUAUGUUAUAUUGCAGACUUCAUGACAACUCUGGGGUGUAAAAAGAACUACACUUCACAAAAAUAUUCAUUGAGCAAGGGUUUAAAGAAAUUAUAAGUUCAAUCUAAUUAAAUUUUGUUUUUUUUUUCUUUCUUUCAAAUAUCAUAUCAAAAGCAUUCUAUCCAACAACACACUUCAUGGCGGAAUACCAGAUACCUUUGGGAAAUUGAAGAAUCUCCAAGUCCUGUAAGUAAAUAUUGUUGGAAAUUUAUAUUAUAAUAUUUAAUUUCAAAGAUUGAAUGAAAAAAUAUAUGUCACUGACGCAAAAGUGCAUAUAAUUAGGUUUCUUAAUAAAACCAAAUAGUGAAGCAGUACCAUUAUGCAAAAGACAUGACUGUUGUAAUGGUGUAUGAAUUAGAUGAAGGAAAAUACUUGGCUGCUGAACGUUUCAGCAGGAGUUCUUGCUGAAACUUCAACAACCAAGCAGCGUUCUUAGAUGAAAAGGUGGCAUCAAUUCAUGAGCAGCCACUACAACCAUUCCUAGAAGUCACUUGGGUUCUUUAUAACUCUUAAUCACAGCCGUGUAAAAGCAGAAUGAGACAGAGAGUUAAUUAGAUCGUACUGGACAUAAGAGUAUUUCUUUGUACUCUAUAUUUUUUCUUUGUUGUUCAAUUUUGAGUCGUGUCUUAAGAGUAUGAAAUAUAUAAAGUUCGUCAUAAUCCGAAGAUUGCAGUGUUUCAACUUCGGAUUAUAGAUUGUUGAAUCCUAGGAGAUGGACACCUACCGAACUAUAAGCACAAGAGUAGGGGUGAAAUUCUAUCUUUAGGACAUUGCAUUUAUACAAGCCUCAAUCUCCAAGUUUGUCAAUCUUUCUUAAUUUCUCUCUAGUUGUUUAUAUUAAUUUUGUACAUAAUUUAUGUUGUGAAUUUUUGUAUGAUUAUUAUCAUUACAGUUCUUUUAUUAUUUUUAUAUUUUCUAAUAUUGCUCCAACAAAUAUAUACUAGAUAGUUGUACAUUGAAAUACAUUGUUAAUCAAUCAACUGGAUGCUUUAGUACGUACUUGUGAAAAUUAGUGUUUUGAAUUGGGGUUCUCUGUAUAAAGGGAUCUAUCGCAAAAUCAACUCAACGGUUCAAUACCAGCAAGCUUAGGGAGCAUGGUUUCUCUUCGAUGGCUGUAAGGGCUUGAUGUCGCAAAUUUAAUUAUGGAGAGUCAUCUUGAUUAAUUUCCGUUAAUUGUUUUUGUUAAAAUUCUUAUCAAGUCAUUUUCACGCUCUAUGUAUAGAUAUCUGCAAUACAACUUGCUUAGCGGAGAUAUACCACGAAGUUUUGGUUCACUGGCGAAUCUUACUGAAUUGUGAGUACAUUAAUUAAUUAUUUAUUUUCUUAUUCUCCUCCACCUCAUCAUGAUUUUAAUUUGUGAUACAUUAAUUCAUUUCAUGCAUGCUUUACUUUCUCGGGCUUUUGCAGGAAUCUGCAGUUCAAUAUGCUAUCAGGCUCAAUUCCUGAGGAUUUUGGAGAUCUUUCGAGUCUUAAAAUUAUGUUUGUUCUUUGCUUACACCACAUAUAAUUAUACUUAUAGACUUGUGAUUUUAUUUGCAUGCAUGUUUAGAUAAUAAAUAUAUAUAUAUAUAUAUAUAAUCUUCUAAAACAUUAAUUCUAAGAAGUCUUUUCUCAUUUUUUCCGAUAGGGAUCUGUCUGAGAAUCAGCUCUCUGGUCCUCUUCCAGAAAGCCUCGGAAAGUUGAAAAAUCUCACAAUCCUGUAAGUUUAAUUGAAAAAAAAAAAAAAAAAAAAUCCUCAUCGCUUAAAAACUAAAUAAAAUAGAAAUAAUAAUCAAGAGUUAAUAUGCAAAAGUAGUCAACAUAGAAGUGUCUCUUUCAUUGUUGCAGCUAUGUGUCAGCCAAUUAUUUGAGUGGGAAAUUUCCAGAAACUUAUGGAAACCUCACAAGCCUGAAAAAGUUGUAAGUGUUCACUCCUGUCAAUGAUUAAUUUGAGGGUUGCCACACAUUAAUUAAAUAAUUAAGAGAAUAUGAUGGUGACUGGUGAAUGCAUGCAGUUCAAUAGCCGGGAAUUACAUUUCUGGUCCCUUACCAGUUGAAACCAUAGCCAACUGGACUACUAUCACACAACUGUAAGUAAUUUUUAGCUUUACACUUAGCAGGUAGUAAUUUUAAGGUUUCUUAAAAAGACAAAUUUUUUACACGGCGUGCAGGGUGCUCGUGGGAAACAAUUUCGAAGGAAAGUUGACUGAAAAAAUAUUCGGCUUGCAAAAGCUUCAGCAUCUGUAUAGGACAUCUUCCUCUUUCUUUCACUUUGCUGGUUCUAUAAUAUAUAUAUAUAUAUAUAUAUAUAUAUAUAUAUAUAUGAGAGACUUUGGAUGCGGUCCUUAUCUAUCAAUAGUAUUUGAUUAAAACCUUGUUGAUUUUCAAUUUUUGAUCUAAGUUCCUAAAAUUAAUGUGAUAAUUUAUUUCUAUUUAUGUUACUAUAUUUUUUAAAUUAAAAAUUAAAAUUUAUAGUUGUUUAUGUUAAUGAGAUUUUAAAUAAAAACCCAUAAUUUGUGGGAUUAAAAAUAUUAAAAUAUAAAUUAUACUAUUGUGUGUGUGUAUACAUGGGUACAUUCAUCAAAAUUAACAAAAAAUUAUUGUACCCAAACAUGGGUACAUUCUUCAAAACCACACAAAAAAAUAAUAGAUAUUAGGCUUAAUAACAUUAGUAAAUUUUUUUGAUAAAGCUUAACAUGGAUACAUUCUCAAAUCAAAGAAAAAUAAUGUAUCCAUAUAAGUUUAAAAAUGGAUUAGAAAAAAAUUUAAUAGAUUUUAUAUAAAAAAAAAGGUACAUUUUUUUGCUAGCAAAAAAGGGUACAUUUUACAUAUAACAAAUUGGUAUAUUUAAGAAUGGGUACAUUUUAAGAUUAAAAAUUUGAAAAAAUUACAUAAAUGGGUACAUAUAAGAUUAAAAAUUUGAAAACACUUUUUAAAAAGCUAAUGGAUACAAACUUAUUUUAAUUUUUUAUUUAUUUUGGAAAUGUUUUGGAUUAAAAAUUAGUUAGGAGUUUAAUAAAGGUGUGAGUAUUAAAAUCCUAAAUCAAUUAUUAAUUUUUAUUUUAAAAAAUUAUGUAACUAACAUGUAAAUUCAUUAUUGCAUUAAUACUAGGAACUUGGAUCAAAAUCUGAAAACUAAUAAGGUUUCAAUCAAUGAACAUUAGUAAUUAGGGAUCACAUACUAAUUUUUUCUAUAUAUAUUAUGAUUAGAGGUUGAAAAUGUAUAUAUAUUUAUUCCUCAGCAGGUUGAUAAGUGACCUGGCAAAUAAUAGUUUCCAAUUACCACUAAAAAUCGCCAACAGUACCAAUUUCAUUUCUCUGUGAGUGGUUUGUUGUAAUAAUUGCUUCUAGCCCAGUUUGUGCCCAAAGGCUUCAUUUUUCAUUCUUCACGUUGGUUUUCUACAGAACACUGAGGAACUGCUCAAUCACCGGCCCAAUCCCCAAAUACAUUGGUGAAGAAAUGACAUCUCUAAGAUACCUGUAAUUUCACUUCACUUUUGUAAUUUUGCUUUUGGAGUUGUCCUGUUAAUUUGGCUGGAAAGAAAAUUGAAACAGUUUUAGGGCUUGUUUAAUACUCAUUAGCGCUUAUGCUAUAAGUGGUUUCAUUAAAAAAACUUUAGUUCUAGAAGUGGUUUCAUUAAAAAAACUUUAGUUUUUUAUUAUUAAAAGUUUAAGUGAUUUCGUGUAAAAGUAUUUGGAAGUGUUUCUUGAAAAAACAUAUGACGUGCACUAUUUUUUUCAGAACACACUUUUAUGACUGAAAAUCAUUUAUUACUUUUUGUGACAAACGCAGUCAUAACUGAUUUUAACUGCUAGAAAGUACUUUUAGCCAUUAUAGAAGUAAUCUCCUACAAACCCUUAACCUCAUCAUCGGACUAUUAAUUAAGCACCGUUUGAUAUAUCUUUAUAUUUUUUUAUUUCACAAUAUAUAGCCAAUUACACGGAACCAGAAUUGAGUUUAUUUUUAAUACCAUUGUUGAUCAAUACUCCCUUAAUGUUAAUCCUCCUUGUGUUUUGUCUUGCAGAGACUUGAGCUUCAAUAAGUUAACUGGUGGCCUCCCUCAGACUAUGAGUUCAAAUAUGAUUGACAUGUAAAGGAAUAACAUUCUUAACUAGAAGAAUUUAGAUUAAUUACAGGUCUGAGUCUUGUUAAUUACAUGCGUUAAUAUGAUAUAUACGCUUAAUUAUGUUCAGGUCUUUUUCUGGAAAUAUGCUUGACGGGACAAUCCCACCUUGGAUACAUGGGUCCUUCCAAACUAGGAUGUAUGUCUUCAUAUUCUGAACCGAAGUUAGAAGAACUUUCAUUUGUAACAGCUUUAAGUUUUUGCUCAUAUGUACAAAUUAAUUAAUGAGACUGACGCAUGUUAUGUUAUCUUUUAGAGAUCUUUCGUUCAACAAUUUUUCAGCAGGAGGCUCUCUAGUACUAAGCAACCCACAACUGUGAGGAUAUGUUCUUUCUUGUCCUUAAUGUUUCUGUUGACGAAAUUGAAUGGUUCUACUUCCACAUUACACUACUAAUUGCAUCGAGGCAUUUUGUUUAAAACUCCACAAUUACUGUUGCACAUCACUUAAGUUGGGGGCAGUAUCAAUUAUAAAAUAUUUUGUUUCAUGACCUUAACUUUUAUUCAGGAACUUGUUUGCAUGCUGCCGCAACUCCUCAACCAAUGAGCAAGUAAUGUAUGUUUUUUUCCUGUUGUAUUAGUAAGAGACUCAAUCAUCAGAACCUUCUAUAACAUAUUGGUAUCUACUUUCAGGAUGGAGAACAGAUACUGUCCUGAAAACAAUCCAAAGUGUAAGUUUAUUCUUCGCAGCCUGAAAAUUACAAACUAAGAUCUUGUUUGACAGCUCGAACUGUACUGAUUAUUUUAGUUAGAUAUGAUCAAAUGGUACUGACUAAAUUAAUCGGAUAUUUGGUGUAGUAUUAGACUAAUAAAUAAUACGGCCUUUGGUACUGUCCCAAAUAAAGAGUUCGAAUUAUUAUUAAUUUUAUUAAUAAGAAAUAAGAAAAAAAGGACAAAAAGAAAACCCAAAUUUGUGAUGAAAUAUUCUGCCUCCAAAUAAUUUUUUUCUUUUAAACUUUCUUAUUAAUAUAUUUUUUUAAAAUUAAAAAACAGAAACAAAAAAUUCAGCGCCCUUGUCCACCCCACACCCCAACAAACACCAUCGCCACACCACCCUCAAUCAAAUCCGGCGACAAACACCAUACCCACCCCCACCCUUAGUCAAUUCGUGAACACUUCAAUUGCUGAACACGGCUUCUCGCCACCGCAUCUUCCCCAACCCAGCAAACCGAACAGAGUUGCUCACAAUUUUGCAUUUCCAAAUCGAAAGAAGCUCUAAACACAAAAAGAUGGGUAAGUUUGUAAAACCCUUUUCUAGAGGACGAAACGAAGCCGCUGCAAAGACAGAGAACCUGCUUCAUCAUCACUUUCACCAUCCUCCUCAAAUCUGUAAUUAGGGCAUCAAUUCGUCGAUGGUGCGGUCGUCGGCGAGGCAUCGACUGGUCUUUAGCAAUGCCUUGUGGUUCGCCAAGGACACGGCGUCAAGAGUUGGUGGUGGGUGCGGUGGAUCGAGGGGACGGAGAGAGCGAGCAAAUUCCUACCCGACUAAAUAAUACAGAGGGUUUAGAGUGUGUUAGUUAUACGGUGUGGGCAGUAUAUAAUAGGUGAGGUCAGGAUAAUUAAUUUGAAAUCUAUUUAAUAUGGAACAUCACCAAACAACCGGAUUCGUGUAAUUACUUUAUACGUGUGCCAAAUGAGACCUUAAAUGUUGCAGAAUAUGAUAUAUGUUAUUUUUUUCUUGCAGACCAUUCCUUGUUUAUUAAUUGUGGUGGUGGAGAAACAACUGUUCGUGGGAAUAAAUAUGAUCAAGAUAAUGACACGUCCCUCUCUUACACAAGUCCAAAGAAAAACUGGGCUUACAGCGUUUCUGGAGGCUAUGGUGUCCCAGAAAGUAAUACUAGUAAUUACAUCAGGAGCAUGACAUGUGGAGUUCCCAUUACUGAGGCACCGUUGUAUGAAAAAGCUCGGCUUUCCCCGGUAUCUCUCAAGUAUUAUGCUUUUUGUCUGCGCAAAGGCAAUUACACUGUGACGCUUUAUUUCAAUGAAGUUGUAUACACGAAGAAUGAAGAUUAUACUAAUUUAAGAAAACGUGUAUUUGAUGUAUAUAUUCAGGUAACAGUUUAUUUUUUUAGUCAAGAUCACAAUCACAUCAUUCUACUUUUAUUUAUUGGAUCAUCUUAUUUUAAGUAAAUUGUGUUGCAGGAUGUGAGGAGACUAAAUUAUGUCAACAUUAGAGAGAAGAAGGGAAGUGAACCAAUAACUGAAAAUAUUUCAGCUGUGGUUGUAAGUGAUAGCGGUCUAUUGAAUAUCCACUUUUACUGGCCUGGAAAGGGAUCGUAUCAAUACCAGCCUAGUUUUAAUGGACCUCUAAUAUCAGCUAUUUCUGUGACUCCUGGUAAUACUUUAUUCCGUUAUUCGAUUUCUUUUUAAUUUAUUUUGUUCAAAUUAACACUCAUGUAUUAUUAUACUUUUCCCACUAAUUUCAGAGUUCAAAAUUAGUUCCGAUAAAAAUAAUGGUCAACGUGUUGCAUUGAUUACGCUCGCUUCAAUUGUUGCUGCUCUGCCGCUUUCAUUGGCUUUUGCUUGGAAGAUGGGCUGGCUGUCAAGCGAAGAGUUCCGCAGUAAGUCUAUAAGCUGAAUACUAAGCUAUAAUUAAAUACUGUAUUAUGCUCUGCAAUACGAGAAUAUAGGGAUAGGCAAUCUUGAACCCGCGGGUAGGGGCGGGUACUAGCAGCUCGGGGCGGGUUCAUAUUUUUUUAUAUCACAACAGGGCUGGGCGGGGCGGUUCCUAAUUCCUGAAGACAGAGCCCCCGGCCCCAACCGUACCUAGUGUCUUUUGGUGGAGAUUACAUCUAUGCCGUUCAAAUCUCACACACACGGAUACCGUUCACCUUCGCAAAAGACCGACUCCCAGACUGAAUGAUGAAUCUUCUGAUUCUUCUCUCCUCAGCCUUCCCUCUAGUAUGUCGAUCGUCAAUUCUCACUCUCCUCCCUCACGAUCUCUCUCUCCAAGAGUCCAGACUGACUCUUCCCACUUGAAUCGCGAUAGUUGAGAUACCGCAGCUUCUCAGAAAAAGAAAACUUCGGGUUUCUGUUAUUAAAAAAAGGUAUAUUCAUGUUUUUGUUACAAGGAAACGAUAGCCGAGAUAUAUUCAUGAUAAAAGGUCCUUACAAGGCCAAUCAAGGCAAAGGAGGUCUUUACAAAGCCAAUCAAGGCAAAAGACUAAACCAUGCGAGGCGAUGAGCAGCUUCAUUGGCCUGGCGAUGAGAAUGGGUAAAUGAAGCUUCAGUGAUUGUUGGGAGAAGAUCCUUGAUAUCCUCUAUAAUCUGCCCGAUAUGGGAAAGAUUAGUAGAGGAGUCCCGAAGAGCCUCCAAAAUCAGAAGCUCAUCAGAUUCGAAAAUAACAUUAUCUAAUCCCCUUGCUCUCGCCCAAACCAAAGCGGAACGAAAGGCCACAGCUUCUGCCUGAAUGGGAGAAAAAAUGUCAGGGCAGUUUCCGGCUUUGGCAGCCACAAAGAUGCCGAAAUGUCCCUGAUAAUAAGACCGAACCAGCCCAGCUUAAGAUCAGAGUUCCAAGAUCCAUCAAUGUUCAUUUUGAUGGAGCCCGGAUGGGGCACUGACCAUCUGCAAAGAGGAGGUGGUUCACGUGUGGAGCAUUAAGACAGAGUGAAAUCCCCCGAAUGGAUCCCUCAUUUUCCAAUUUAGCGAAAAGGGUCGAGAGACCCUCAGUGCAUAGAAGGAAAAAGGUAAGGAGAUAUGGCGUCUCCUUAGCGCAGACCAUGAGAGGGAUAAAGAUAACCUCUGACGACCAUUGAUGAUAUAAGAAUAGGAGACCCCAAGAUACGCACACCAUUAAUAGAUCGAUCCACUUGCUAGAGAAACCCAAUUUAGCUAGGAUUCCCCUAAGGUAGUUCCACUCAAUCAGAUCAUAAGCUUUGCUAAUGUUCAAUUUUAAAGACAUGAGUUUGUUCGUCCCACGACGGCGCUUGUACAAAUGACGUGAAAUUUUCGAUGCCAGAAUAAUAUUAUCGGUGAUGUUAUGCCCCGGAGCAAAUGCGAUUUGGGUAGAAGUGUGAUGCAAUUGAGGAUGAGGACAUGCUCACAAACCCCGGGUCCACACAGCUAAUCUGGGUCAAGGGGUGGGGAACCAAGUGUCGGACAUUUCAAGGAUUACAGACUGCCUCAGAAGAGCAGGAAAUGUCUCCAGCCAGCUUAGACCAUUCUGCCAGUUCAUUGUCCUUUCUCAAUUUUAAAAACCUAUUCGCCGAAAUAUCAGCCUUAUCGUCCGGCAGCCCAUAAAAGCCACCGAUUCCACAAUCCCACUUGCGCCUCCACUGACCUUCGUCUGCACCGGACCGAGGGGCUGUUGAUUUUCUGGGGAAGAGAAGGGAAGGGAACUCGCUCUAGAUGGUGGUUGGGCUCGGAGAGAAUCAUUAUAUCUGCUUUCGCCGAACGACAAGGCUAUAACAGGGCUAGGGCAACCCCUAGAGUGUCCAAGACGACCGCAACCGUAGCAAAAGAUCUGAGACCUUCGUAUUUUCAGCCGAAUCAAGUAAGAUCCUCGGAUGGGGCAUGGAAAUGAGAAACGGAUAUGGAGGGGUUUGUUGGUUUCGAAGUCCACCUGCAAUCGAAGGAAACCACGAAACCUAGUUUUUCAUGGAUCAUUCACUUCAAAAACCGAGCCAAUUUUAGAACCCUAGUUUCUGGUGUUCUUCUGUGUACAGUGACUUCUCGGGAUUCCAUGAGCCUGAAUCCAGUAAAUGGCUCGGUCAGCGUCAAUGUCAUCCAGAGAGUGGUAAGACGGCCACAGUUUCACAAAGAAGUUGUAAUCUUUCAGAAACCAAGGAUUUCCUUCCAGGAGUUUCCUAGCCACCUCCUCCUCCCCAACAGUACUAGCAUAUAUAUUUUCCUUCGCACAGGACGCGAACUACGCCCAUCUUGUUCCAGGUAGAGCGCAAGAUUUCCUUAAACACAUUUUGGAUGGUUCAUUGUCCGCAAUGAGCCUCCCCACAAGAUGGAUGAAGUUGUCAAAACGUUCUUCCAAGUCAAGGCUGUCCUCGAUAGUGAUAUUAAGGCAGUCAAUCAGAUCAGCAUCCGCAUUCAACAUUGCUAGAAACACAAAUCCACAGGGGAUACAAAAGAAAGCUCACGCCAGUGGGGCGAAGAUAGAGAGAAUUACACGCCAAUCCAGGCUUAACCUAUGCUGGCAAAAAUUAAGUUCAAAUUGUCAUUCAUAAAUCAUAAUGGACCUCCUCCAACCUUGGAGUAAAACUUAAAAUUUAAGUUCUAAACUUAGCCCAAUUUGUUCCAACCCUAGGCCAAAUAUGAGUUGUAACCCAGAACUCUUUUUCAGAGCAAAUUUAAACCAAUAUUCCCCCUGUGUUGGUGGGCUGGCCCAUCAUAUAUAUGUAUUUUUUUAGUUUUAUAUUUAUAAAUUAAUUAAAUUCAACGGUUAAGAUCUAAUAUGAUCAAAUCCAAAGAUAAAAAUAAAAAGAUUUAAUAGUCCAAAUUUAAAUCCAACAGCUAAAAUAAUUAUAAAAAAGAUCUUUCAUGUGUUUCAUAUUCUUUCAUAAUGUUCCACGAGUUUCAUAGUGUUGGUUUAGUGUUUUUUCAAUAUUUACCGGAAUCUAAAUAUUUUUAGGUUAGAAUGUUCAUAAAAUUAAAUUAGGAUAGUCUACAUAACUUUUUUUUAAGUUACCUUAAGAAAAAAAGUAUCCUAAAUUCAUUAUUUAAUAAUCUCGGGCUAAAAAUUUAACCAAAAAAGGUUGGUGCAGAAAAACUGUUUCUUGGUUAAAACCUAAAUUUUCUGAAUUAAAAUUUUAGAUUUUUACCCAAGGAUUGGAGAUGGUCUUAUAAAUAUUAAGGUUUUGGUUUUGGUUUGAAAAUUUUCCUUUUUUUUUAGUCAAAUUAGAUUUCACGCAUUCCCCGAAUGAGUCAUACACUCCAUGAUUUUUUAAUUGCAAGAAUUUUUUUAGUUUGCUCAGAACACGAAGUACGAAGUGGUACACUAUAUUUCAUUAUAUAAAUGAAGGAAAAUUUUAUUUUGUUUUCAAGUAUCAAAAUUCAUCUAUUUGGAUUAAAACACAAUUGUCAUGUUAUGGCAGAAAAUAUUAUAGUUCUAACUUCAAUACAAAUUUUUUUUUUUGUCAAAGGUAAAUUCAUUAAUAACACAACGACUAUACAACACAGGAGGCUCAAUUACAAGUCAAGUACAAAAUAAAAAUGAGCCCUCCAAGCAAAACAAAGCCCAAAAAACUUGGGCCCAAACAGAAAAACAAAGAAGAAAACCACCAUCGUCGACCGGAACCACCAUCCUGCACCACCAUCCCCGACAAAAACCAGAGCUUCAGCUAACCGAUGUCCCAUAAGUGGUGGAAAAGAAAGCUCCAAUCUUCCUCCAUCAAGCACCAAAUAUAUCUUAGCCACAAAUUGUGGUCUAAGCCACAAAUUUAAUGAAACCAGAGGGAAGGAGAUCCCACCAGUAACAGUGCCAAUAAAGGCAUACACAUGGACGGUGGUGGUGUUUCCAUUGAAGCCAGAGCUGUGCACACCUUUCGAGAGGUUUGCGACAAGUUACGUGAAGAAAAGUGGUAUGUAGAUCCGAAAUAGAGUGAGAUAGAGGAAGGACAGAGCAAGGUGUGAUUGAAAUGAUGGUGAAUGAGUAGAAAUAGGGAGGUGGACGGGAAACAUAGAUUGGAAGAAGAGAAAUGCAAGCUAAGGAGCACACAUAAAAUAAAAGAAGAAAACGAGAAACGGGAGACAGCCACCAACCCUGGACUCAGCCAGGGCCGGCAACGAAAGAGGGAGGAAGAAAUUAACAGCAAACUCUCAAAAGGGUAGAAGGAACUCUCACGAAGAGGAGAGACAACAAAAAUAAAAAAAACUAAAAAAAUUUACACACAAUUAUUUAUUUUGUUUGUGGCUAACAAAUUUUACACACAAAACAAUUGUAUUUAUUUCCUUUCUAUACAGGCACCAACUAAUGUGCCCAUUUGGCACAAAUAUUUUUCUUAGACAUAUUUUUCAAAAAAUUAGACUCAAAUAUAUCAUUUGUGUUUAUAUUUUACUUCAAAAGACACAAUUACUUAUUGUUAUUAUUUUUUAAAGACUUAUGGCCCACCCACAAUUAUUUAUUUUAAGAAUUUUUAAGGAGAUGAAAUCUUCUGCACCCAUAAAGCCUUGUGGUCUCUCUAUGACUUCUCUAAAAAUGUGACACGUGUCCACCCACUUGCUAACCUUAACUCUAUUUACUGAUCUGUUAUCUCCUAAAUUUUUUGAGUAAUGCUAUUCUUACCACAAUUUUAUACUACAUUUCUUUACCAUCUUAGGUGGCAGAUGAGUUGGACAAGCGACAUCAUUUAAUUUCAAUCUUUUUAUUAAUUAAAAUGCUUAAAUAAUCUUAGGUGGAAGAAUGAGACUCCUCGUAUACUACAAUCAUCAUUUAAUUAACAAUCUUUUUAUUAAUUAUUGAUUAACAUUUUGAAAUUAAAUGCUAAUUAAUUUAGAUGAUGUGUUAUCCACAUCAGAUGUCACCUAACAUUUUUUUAACAAUUGUAUACCAUCUUAGGUGGCACCUAACAUUAUUGUUAAAAAAAUAAAAUUAUUGUUAAAAAAAUAACAUUAUUGUUAAAAAAAUAAAAUUCCAAGAAAGCAAGCAACGAUUGGACUCCGACUCCUCUUUUCGGCUUCCAAAAUUUCCCAGCCCCCGGUCCACCCACUGAACCAUGGAAGAGGAGUCCGUUAUUUCGGAAAAUCAAAACUGCAAGUCAAAUCCACCAUGGUCACCGGAAGGAAAGUCCCAUUCUAAAGUGAAUGUAAAUUGUUGUAUCCCAACACCAAAAGGCUUAAAACCGCCGCCACCAUUACCCAUUCCCUUUUCUUCAAUAUCUUCACCUCUAUCAUAUCUGGUACUUUUGUCCUCGUCAACAAGAACCUGAAAAAUGAUUCAUUUAAGAGGUAGAGGGAUACAUGUAGUCCAUCUGUUGAGCAAAAAUUGUACAUAAUAUGUAAACAAAUAAUUCACUCGACACAAUUUCACCCUCAUUCAGUUUUCCAAAGAGGGUUUUAUUAAUUCGAGUUCGACCCAUUCUAGGCUACACGCCUAUUAAUUACAAUCUUUCUUUUGGGAAAGAAAUACCCUUUGAUUCCAAUUCGAAAAAAAAUGUAACUUGAGGAAUUUGAUGUUUGUUUGAUUUUGUGACUGCACAUAGGUUGAACCCUAGAUUGCCUACGUACCCUCUUGAGGGAUCAAGUCACUCGUAGUUCAUGAAUUUGGUAUUUAUUUGGAUUUGAUGCCUUGUGCAGUUUUAGCUCAUGCGGGCGAGGAGCAUAGUGCCUUAUGCAGUUUCAGCUCAUGCGGGCGAGGAGCAUUUGAAAAUUUGAUGUAGCUUCAUGCCUUUUGAGAUUUUUCUUCAGCUUCAUGCCACUCGGGAUUUGAGACUUUGAUACAGCUUCGUGCCCUUUGAAAACUUUUGUUCGGCUUCGUGCCAUUUUGGUAUUUGAUAGCAGGAGUGAAUUUAGUUUAUAUAAACCAGGGAUUCGUUUCGAUUUCACGGUUGCGUCUAAAACUUGAUAUUAGACUGCCUACGUAUCCUUAACGGAAUCAAACCGGCGUAGUUCAUUAUCUUGAUUUCAUGGUUGUGUCUGAAAAUUGAUAUCAAACUGCCUACGUAUCCUUAAAGGAAUCAAACCAGCGUAGUUCGUAAAUCAAAGUUGUCUCCAAUAUUUCUUUUUGUUUUAAACGCUUGAACUUGGUGCCUCUGAGAUGCAGUAGUGAACUCUUAUUUGGCACACAUGUUUGCCAAAGUGAUACUGCCCAUAUGAAUAAUAUGAGAAAGCUACUCUUUUUCUUCUUUUCGAGUUUCCAAAUAGUAUUCUCAUCUAAUUUGCAGCAAGUAAAAAAAAAACUACUCAUGAUCAUGACUAAUGUUUUGAAAGCCACGUCACAUUCACAUAACUUGAUGGUGCUUUUCACUUUUUUUUUUUUUUUUCUUUGUUUGUUGUCAGGGGAUAGGUUGUCAUUUUCCCUUUGCUUUUCUGGGACCUUUGUCAGUUUGUUCCCAUUCAUUUACCAAUUCCCAUGUGAACCACUUUUCCUUGCUUUGUCAAUUCCUACGUGAGGUGUUCAAUUCAAAGUGGGACUUCCAAGGGUCUUGAUGACAGCAAACUUUACUUUUAUAUAUAUUUUUUUUUAUGUGGUUUAAAGCUUCCAAGCUCAGAUAGAUUUUUGGCUUCCAAUUGCGGCAACUUUCCUCUCUUCUCCAUGUGAGAAAACCCUCACAUGAUGGACUUCAUUCAUACCCCGUGAAAUGUUUUAGAGAUCCCUCCUUUCCUUAGCUCCCAGACUCGGUGGUCUCCGUCCCGAAACGGCAGGCAAUCCCGAUAUACUUGGGUUCCGGGGAUUUCGUUACAUUUCAAACUUCUAUUUGGAUUGGGUGUUCGUGGAUUUCAAAGUGAGAAUGGGUAAGGUUUGUUGGAGCUCAAAUUCUUUAUUCAAAUUCCUUCAAUUUUACCUUUAUUUCCCCCUCAAAUUGCAAACCAUUUUUAUUUUUGCAGGUCACCAAAAAGCUUUCAUUCUUUUCCUGCCGCCUUGCUCUUUGCCAUUUUUUGUUUGUUCUUCUCUUUGUGGAUCAAAAGCUCACCACUUUGCAGGUAGUUCCUUUAUUUAUUUAUUUUUUCAUAUUCUGGAUCUGCUUAUGUAUUUGGAGUGAAAUAAAGCUCUAACUGUGAUGAACUUGUCAAUUCUUUCGUGCAGGCGUCCCGGGCAACGGCAUCUCUUCGAUUGGUUGUUGGACAAAACCAUUUUGCAGCCCCGAGUUAGUUGAAGACAAUUGUUGAUUUAUGGCUCAAAAGGUGAGAGUUUGCAUCCUUAAAUUCGUAGUAAUGCACUCCUCGUAUCUGCUGUAUUUUGAAUGAGUUUUGAUGUAUUUAGAGUGUAAGUAUUCGCUGGCAUUUUUGUUUCCACAGGGGAAAUUAUUUGACUGGUCUUGACAAUGGGGAUUUGGACACACUUUUUUGUGUUCCCAUUCGUAUUUCGUCUUGAAUACUUGCCAUAUUUUCUAAUUAACACUUGUACAAAGUAAUGCUUUUCCCAAAAUCUUUUGUAGUUUUGACUUGUCUUCUAGUCCAUUGGGUGUUUUGCCAUGUGAAUGAGUUUUCUAAAUAAUUUGGCAGUAAGCUUCUCUUUCUUUGUAGACUUGGGACAACAAGUGUUUAAUAUAAAGGCUUUGAACCUUCUCUUUUUUUUUGUCCCAUCUUCUCGUGGCAAAGAAGGCUUUGAACCUUCUUUUAAAUGUUUGUGGCAGAAAAGCAGGUGAGAAAUUUUGACGUGAUGAAAACACUCUGUUCUUUCUUCACGUGACAAAGAAGGCUUUGAACCUUCUUUUAGCUGUUUAUUCAAAGAUUGGGAAAUUUCCUUUCUUUCCUUUUUGUCUUGUAGUAGUCUUUGGUCAAGAGUUGUGUUUGAAAAACUUUUCUUCUUGUGGAAUUGGACCAAGCAGGAGUCGGUCAAGGGGAGCAAAAGUUGCAUUUUACUUCUUUUCCCUUGUUUAUUUUGUCCACAAAUGCAUCUGUUUUCUCAUUGGACAGCAAAGAAUGACUUUCAUUAGACCUUUGAUUGGAACUUCACGGGGUGGUCUAGGCCACCCCGAAGAAAUUCAUGGGAUUCUGGCAGCGGCGAGGAGCGGAGCCCUUUUGCGUUUUUGUUCUCUUCAGAUUUAGACAGAAAGAAAACAUGUGGCUGCUGCCAUUUUUCUUUGGACUGCUUUGUGUUGUUUUUGCAGGUAUAGAAGAGUAGUCGGACUACCAUUUAAGAAACCUUCCCUACAUAAAAAACCUUUUCCGGCAGUUUUCUUGUAUAAACUGAAGGUUACUAGUUCUGAGUGUUUGGUUAUGCACCCUUUUUCUUUACUUCCAUCUGCAACACAACAUUGAACUAGAGAAAUAAAAAUUAACAGAACUUAUUUCAUACCUGGUAAUGAAUGUUCUUCUUUUUUAUCUUGACUCGAAUGCACGAAUGAUUGGUCUCUUUGUUCUCUUUUCUGGCAGCAGUUCGUUGCCUUUUGAUAUUUCUCUCAAAGUUGCUUUUAUUUUCUGCAGAGUUUCCCCUUCCUUUUUUCUGUCCUUUUUUUUUUUUGUUGUUGCAGCUGAUGCCCAUUUAUAGGCAUCAUAGGAGGGUUCUAGAGCUUGUUACGUGGGGAGAAGAUGGAGGGCAUGACUUCCUGCCACUCUCUCUUAACCCCUCUUAACUGACCCCACGUUUUUUUUGUUGCAGGAAAGGAGGAACCUGUUUAUUACUUCCCCCUUUUGUAGGAAAAUUUUCCUUAUUAUUUUUUAUUUAUUUAUUUAUGGAUAUUUGGUUUGUAUGUAAAGCCCAUUCUUAUCUUUUGGGCUGGUUUACAUCCUUGUUUUGCCUUAUAGCCUGACCCAAUUUGUAUGGACUCUAUUUUUUUUAUGUUGUAUAUUUUUGUUGUUCAACACCAUCAUUUUAGGUUUGUUUCUUGCAACAAAAAGCCAAUAUAAAAGGAAGAUUAAAAAGAGCUUCGGUGGGAUAUACAGAUCCCGUAAGCAGCAGCAAUUUCACCGAACUUGGUCCUCUGCUUCUUGUCUAUUCUCAACACUUUUAUCUGGAUGCCACUGCAUAGCAAGCUUUUUGUACAGAUGUUUAUGUUAAGAAUUUGGGAAUUUUGAUAGGCAGAGCGGCGAGAGUGUAGGCGUCGCUUGCUUUCCUGGAAUUUUUUUUAUCAACGCUUAAGUGUUACACCUCACCCUGAUUUUAAAGGUAGUUUUGGGUUUUUAUUUAAAAAUUGUUUUUAGGGCCUUAAGUGUGCCCAAAUGGCCCACCCCUUGAUUUGUUCCUCGGUUCCCUUCCCCUUACCUUUCUUUUUCUAAAUUUUUUAUGACUCUCUCUUUCUCUCUCUCUCUCUCUUUCUUCCUCACUUCUCUCCCUCUCAUAUGUGCCCUCCCUCUCUGCAAACCCUCACCUCCCUCAUCAUCGUACCACAUAACAAUAACUAAGCACCAUCACCAUCACCCUUGCGAACUAAGAUUCGAAGAAAGAACACCACAAACCCCUCUCUUCCAUUUGGACGGUAUUGUUGUUCAUCGUCUUCCCCGAUGAGUUUCGUGAUUUUCCAACAUUGGUAAGCUUCUAAAAACCCUUGGAAUGUGUUUUAGGGUUAUAUCGAAGCUUGUUUUAAGUUGUGUACACGUUUGAAUCACAGUAAAAAACUCGGAGUAGCUUUUCCAAAUUUCUGGCGAGCACCGCCCCUUUCGAGGCAAUUUCCGGCCAAACGACGGCGAGUUGUCCUGUGUGCAAGGUAUCAAUCUCUUCGUCUCACUGAGUACUACAAAUUUUCUUUUUGAAUCACUCGAUUUGGUUGAGUAACGAAGAAGGUAUGGGCGUUUGAAGUUUGUCCAGAAACCGGCCAAAACUUCAGCCUGGAAAUGGGCCAACCUAACCCAUUAACCCAAGGUCCAACCCAUUUACCCAAGCCCAAGUCUGAAACCCAAACCCAAGCCUUUGGGCUGGAUCACUAAGCCCAAGCCCAUUUAUUUUUAGUUUUGUUUUAUCUUUAUUCCUAUUUAAUUCUAAAGGCCCUUGGGCCAUAUCGGUUGGGGCCCUAAGCUCAAAUCCGAAACCCUUAAAACCCUAAGCCCUUUUUCCUUUAAACCCAGCCCACCUAAAUAGCUAAACCCUAAACCCAAUUAACCCUUAAGCUCAAAACCUUUAGGUCUAACCCUGAUUCAAGCCCAGACCCAGUUGGCCUAGUUUGACCUGAACAUGGUCUGACCGUUGACCCGGUUAACGGUCAUCGUUGACUUUGACCGGUCAAUGUUGACUUUUGGGUUGAUUUUUUAGGUUUUUGUUCAGAACCUCUCCUAGACUAAUUUCGACGUCAUGAACCCGUUUCCGAUGUCCUUUUUCCUAAAUUAAGUCGUUUGAGUAUAGUUUGACUAAAUGUAUCCUUUAUGUGCUUAGGGGCAAUUAUGUGUGGCGUUUCCUUCUUCGCUAGGUUGUGUGGCUUUUCAAUGGCGAAGUACUGUGAGUGGACCCCUUCUAAAAAUACAUGUUUUAAUAGUAGAAAUGCAUACAUGAAAAACAUGAUUUAAUGAUUAUGUUUUAUGAAACGUUUUAUGUGACAACAUGCUUACUGAUGCUAUUUUGAAUUAUUACUAUUUUUCCUAUAACCCGUGUUCUUAUAGAAUAUAUGAUGGAUGACGAUAUGAUAUUUAGAACAUAUUUUGAACACCUCUUUAUAGUAUAGAUGAUGGAUGACUUUAUACUAUGAAGUUGUUUUUCAAUAUAUGUAUGUUCAAUGGUUUUAUAUUUACCUAGUGGUCCCUAUUCCGUUACGGGACGUAUGGAUAUAUUAUGAUCCGUCCUAGACGACGAUUUGGUGUUGGCAUAGAGCCUGAAGUGUGUUUCCUCUGGCUAUUAGCACAAGGACUGGGAGCCGGCAUGGGACCUAAAGUGUAUUUUCCUCUGACUGUCUGCUCAGAGACGGGGAGCUUGCAUGAGGCCUGAAAUGUUAUUGGACAUUCACUAGUGAUUAUUAUAUAUACAAGUUAUGAUUUGAGACAUUGCACGUAUGUUUAUCAUGAUAUAUAUAUGUUUUCAUAAAAUCUGAGGGUUAGUACUUAGUACGUUGAAAACUGUUUUAGUAUAUAUAUAUAUAUAUAUAUAUAUAUAUAUAUAUCAACUUGGUCCACUCAUGUUUGUUUUGCACCUCCUUCAGGACUUAGAAUCGAGGCAUACAAUCCCGGCGUCAAGGCACUUCCGCAUCGGCAUAUUCGAGUCCUCUCGGUGUAGGAUUCAUCCUUUGUUUCAUUAAAUUUUAUAUUAUUCUUUUAGUGUUCUAGUUAGUUGUAUGGUAUGAACACGUUCCUUAAAUGCAUAUUAAUUAUUAUUUUAUGUUUAUAAGUCUUAUCUAUCCCUUAUUUUCAGCAUUUGCACUCAAUAAUUGGCUUUCGUCACUAUCGGGUGUCGGCUAGCAUGUGUCUAUCCUGGUAUUCGGGAUAAUAGGUUAUUUGAUUGACAGCUUUAUCCUUGUAGAAAAUGACCAUCAAAAGACCACCCAAUCAUGUCUUGCCACAUAAUUAGUUAUAUUGCCAAAAACCUAAAAUACAUAAAUGAGAAAGAAAAAAAGAGGAAAAAAACCUAAAAACCGAUCAAAUUAUGGGGCUGAAAAUGGAGGAGUUUCUGGCUUGAGCAAAGAAGACUUAAUGUUGUGAAGGGUAAAGACCCCGCUUGCAAAUGCCAAUAAGAAGCAAGAAUGGGCGUUCAAAAGCUUUCAUUGCUGAGUUUGCUACAACAUUGAUAUUCCUUUGCCACCAGCAAGAGCUUCCUCAGAUGGGUCUUUCCAUUCAUCAACUACCCAAGCGUAAUGGCAGUCAAGCAAAAGGCGUUUGGAAGGGGAAUUUCACAACGUUGUAAGCUUGUAACGGAGACUGAGGAAGCAGUUGAGGACUCCAUUAUCUACCUCUACCACCUUCCUGUUUAAUGAUAUUUUUUUAAUUAUCAUAAUUCUUUUAAAAGCAAAGGAAAAAUUGGAGAAUAAAUAUAUAGGGUUAUUUUGGAAUAAUGGUAGGUGGGAAAAUAGUUAUAUGAUUUUUUUUUCACUUUUUAUGAUGGGUGUAAAUAUAAGAUGGGUAAGAAAAUAAGACACUGGAGUGAGUAUAUCACCACUCUAUUUUUUUUUUAGUAUUUUGGUUGCUUGAUUUGACUUAUGCAGGCUGCCCCUGCAGCCUCAUGGUUGAACAUUUUAAAAGUCAAAACCAAAAUCAAAUCAUUUUCUUAUACUAUGAUUCGGUUUCAAAUCAAAAUCGUUUUAAGACUACAAAAUCAAACUGUUCGGUGUGAUUCAAUUUGAUUCGUGUUUUUAUUUUGGUUUUCGAUUUUUAGUGUCCACCCCUAAUUGUAAUCUCGCAAUUCGGAAAAUGGGUUAUCCUUCAAUAUUAAAUCCUUAAAUGAUGGAUUUAUAAGAGUGUCCCAUCAAUUAGACAAUCAAGAUUUGAUUUUUGAUCAUUUUUACAAGUGUCCAUCUAUCGCAGUGGUGGAGAUGAGUGUUGCAUUACACCACAGUGUGGGUUCGAAUCGUGUCGGCACUCUAAUCCAAUACCUAAUCUAACAAAUGUAUUGGGAACCGUUUGGUACGUGGGACGAGACGGAACACAGUGGGACAAUGCGUUCCGUCCCACGUUUAGUGCUCCUAAAACCAAUGGAACGGGUUGUCCCAUGUGACGAAAUUUAGCUGAUUUUUCGUUCCACCUCCCCCUGGAAUGACUUGUUCUACUUCCAUGGAACACACAUUUAUAACAUUUUAAGACAAAAUUUCCCCAUGUUUUUCAAUAUUUACAUCAUCUGUGGAACAUCCGUUCCGUCCUGUCCCUUCCCGUCCCGUCUGCGUACCAAACGGUACCUUGUUUAACAAAAACUUUUUUUUUGAUAAUUUUAGUAAAUUGCCAUGAUGCAGAUUAAAUUCCAAACCAUGACCAUACCCACAUAACAAACAUUUGUAUUUUAUCCAUCACGUUGGUCAUCCAUAUAGUUUUUUGCUGAUAUAAAAGUGAGAUGAAAUAAAUAAAUAAUUCGAGGCAAUCAUUUGAGAGAAUGAAUUUCAAAUUAGGAAUGAAUGGACACUGCAUGAGUUUAUGAAGAAUCUGGUUACCUAUGUUGUCAAUUUACUUUAAAGUAAAACCUCGAUUGCCAACAUGCUUUCAAAGAGUAGAAUUCUUCCCCUCUUUUUUUUUUCCCUCUCCUAUUUAAAUAGUCACAAUUAAGUUUCAUCAACAUCUUGUGUUAACUUUUUAAUAGAGAGAAAAACAAACUAAAAGUGUUAAAAGAGCAUAAAAGAAAAGGUCAUAAAAAUUGUAGGGAAGAGAAUCUCACUCGUGCUUUCAGGCCAUCCUAUAUAUAUUGUCGCUACUCUCCAUCUUCACAAGCAUGAUCAAUGAUACAUACUUGUCUGUCCCUUGACCAUGUCUGUCCCUUGAGAUUUAUCUAAUUUUCGUUUGAGGUAUUCAUCAAUUUUCCCCCUGAACUUGUGACUAUUGGCCAAUUUCCCCCCUCAACUUUAAUUUUGGCCAAUUUCCCCCCUCAACUCUCAUAAUUAGUCAAUUUCCCCCCUCAACUUUAAUUUGGCCAAUUUCCCCCCUCAACUCUCAUAAUUAGUCAAUUUGCAACCAAUUGUUAAUUUAUUUUUUUUUUAAUUUUCCAUCUAUUCUUUUUUUUUUUCAAUCUUUCUAAUAACUUCCAACAAAGUACUAAAAUUAACAUAAACUCACUUGCAUAAUAUAGGGUAAAAUGUACAAAAAUUAAUAGUAAUGUGAUAUGGGUUGAUUAUAAGAAAAAGUUAUGAAUCGGGUUUAAAGCAUGUAAAAGAAGAAAUAAUAACAAAAAGACAUAAUAAUCAUAAACUCAUGGAUCAGACAUAUUUCAAUAAAUAGGUUAUUCUUAAUAAUGAGUUAAAAAAUUAUGAAGUUGACUAGCCAUUUUUUGCACUAAAGCUCGAUUAUCUGCAAUUUACUUGAAACUUAGCUUUCACUUUUAUAAAGAAAAUUGUAUUCACAUACAAAAAUGUACACAUCAAUCCUUUUCGUUAUCAAUUUUGUAUAGUAAAAAAUCAAAUAAAAUUACUCCAUACUGAUUUAUUAUGACUAAUAAUACUAUCUAUGAUAAAUUGUAAAAUUCUAAAUUUUAAUCUAUUUGUAAUAGGAUAAAGAUAUAGGAAAAUGAUUAACAUACAUCUUAUUUAGUUUCUUACACACACUUGUUUAAUUAUGAUCAAAUUAAAAAAUUAAUAGUAGGGUGCAAAUUGACUAAUUAUGAGAGUUGAGGGGGGAAAUUGGCCAAAUUAAAGUUGAGGGGGGAAAUUGACUAAUUAUGAGAGUUGAGGGGGGAAAUUGGCCAAAAUUAAAGUUGAGGGGGGAAAUUGGCCAAUAGUCACAAGUUCAGGGGGGAAAUUGAUGAAUACCUCUUUUCGUUUAUAUUGGUCUCCUGGGUUGGAAGAUUUAUUUUAAAAUUACUAUUUUGUCCGUUAUGCACGUUCAACCGCCAACUAUAUAUCUUGCAUCCCCAAAUGCAGGUCAUCAGUCGGGGAUUUCCACUCCACAUAUGACAAGCGAUGACUGAUGUUCCCUUUGAUAAAUGAUUCUAGCUCCACUUUUGUAUUUUCCAUCAAAUCCGUUAAGAAAUUUGUUAAUACUCUAACUGGCAUGAGUGAGGCCCACUUAAUUGCUGAUGUUCCCUUUGAUAAAUGAGAAUAUUUUUGUUCAUUACUCUCAAGUGAUGAUGAUAUUCUUUACUACCAUAUUCAUCAUCGUUGUAUGAGUUUAAAUUUCGAGAUUUAUAUAAUGAAUAGACACAAAUCUCAAAUUUAAAUGCAUUCAAUGGUAACAAGUAGGCUGGUGAGUAUUACCACCACUUCGUGAGCAAAAUGCACUCUUGAUAAAUUAUACAUUUCUCCUUUUUUGUGCACAUGUUCUCUGUCAAUAAUUUUUUUCAGUGUGCCGAAAACGGCCCCUGUACAACAAGUGUCAUAUUAUUAGUGGUUGGAUCUUGAAUAAACAAAUUUAGGGUUAAUUCGUUUAUUACCCUGAAAUUUCUUAAUUUUCAACCUUUAGUACAUGAAUUUUUUUCGUCCCAGUGGUAUCUAAAAUUAUAAUUCUGGGACACUUUUAUACAUCCGUUAAGUUUUCCAUCAGAACUUUCGUUAACUGAUGAUGUGGUGCCCAUGUGGUGGUCGGGAGAGGUGAGGUAGGAUGCCCAAUUUUAUUUUUUUAAUUUUUAAUUUUUUUAAUAUUCACGUGAGCCCAUAUUGACACGUGACGUCCAGUCAUUAUCCAUGUUAGCGUUAUGUCAUCAGUUAACAGAAGUUCUAAUUGAAAACUUAACAGAUGUAUGAAAGUGUCUCAUAAUUAUGACUUUAGGUACUAGACUUGGACGAAAAAAAGUUCAUACACCAAAGGUUGAAAAUCAAGAAACUUCAAAAUAGUAAACUGAGAUUAAUAAAAAAAAUUAAUGACUUGUACAUAAAAAUUUAUCCCAACGCCUCUCCAACAUUCUAUUUAUCCAGAUUUCGGAGAGCAACUAUCAACCGUUAGUGGGAUAAUGAUUACUCAACUUCCAAGAUAUUUUCUGAAAACAAAAUAACUAAAAAAAAUUGAAAGUUAAAAAGAAAAAAUAAUUGAAAAAAAACUUGUUUAAUACCAAUAAUUCGUUAAAUAAGAUAAUUUUAAUUAUUUUAUGUAUUAAAAAUAAUUAUUAUAUAAUUUUAACUAUGUAUUUCCAGUAAUAAAUAGAAUUCAUGGAUUCAACGGGUGAAAAGGUAAAGGCAAAAUUGGGUUGGAGGAAAUUAGGGAACACAAUUAGGAGUCCACGACAGACAAACAACGAUUGGAAUCUGUACGUCCAACCAAGGUGGAGAGCAGCGGAGAGCCUCCUCCAGCCUUCUUCUGACGGCGCCGAGGCUUUCUCCUCAGCCACCGCCGCAACAGCCGCAGCAGCAUCAGGAUAAACGACCCCAUCGCAGCCAAAGCGCCAACAGCAACAAGAUGAAGGGAUUAUUCAA